rnacentral:lncRNA from 1 species
GAAAUUAUUUUAUUAUCAUUGUUGUUUGAAAUAAUUGCAUAAUAUAUACAUUAAUAAUCCACAAAUAACAUCACAUACUUUUUGCAGUGCUCUCAUAGUACCAUAAUAAAACAUGAAAAUAAAAAUUAUAAUCUUUUUCAAAUUUUUUCCCACUUUCUCUUGUUGUUUCUUCACUCUCUCCUUGCAAUUUUUUUGAGUUCCAUGUUCAUUCUCAACCUCUUUUCCUGUGAAUAAGAGAUUUUGUAACAAAGAUAAGUUUCCCACUAAGCAAUAAAGCAAACCAAUGACGAAACUGAAUACUAAAACAUGAAGAAUUUUAAAUAAAGCAAAACAAAGAUGCUAACCAAAUGAACAAAACCUUGAUAUAGUUGACACCUAGCUCCUUUCUUAUAUAACCACGAUCCAAAUUACUUAUUACAUAUUGAUUAUAAUUUUUUAUGAUUCUCAUUAUAAUAUCAAAAGUAGAAAUUCCGCCAGUCCGCUUUGUUUCCUUAAAUUUUGCAACAUACUUAACCUAGAUAAGAAAUUAAAAGGCAUAAGUUCAUAAAUUGCAGCAAAAAAGUUUGAGAUAGUUACAAGUAGUCUUAAUUUGAACUUACAUGUUCGUAGACAUCCUUUUCACCUCCACUUGCAUCAGCAUAACUAUGACAGUAGAAUAAGGAAGUGAUAACAUAUAUGAGAAGAACUUGAAGAAAAUAGUACCAGUCAGAAUAUACUCAAGUGUUGCAAUGCAAGCAUAACAGAAUCACAUGGAUAGAACAGAAGCAUCACAACACAAGACAAUCAAGUGAAAAUAAUAUUAAUAUCAACAAGAAGUUAACAACAGUAUAUAAUUCAUGCUUAUAACUUAAAAUCCCUAAACUUUUCACAUCACAACUGCAAGAACCAAGAAUGUCUGCACAUCCAUUCAGUUUAAAGUUAUUCUAUUCUGGUGUUGAUAAUUUUUAAUCAAGAAGUCACAAAUUUUAAACCUAUAUCAAAAUAGCAUGGGGCUGGUUAACCUUACGGAAGACUAUCAUGUGCCACAUAAUCAAUUUGAUGUUUGUCAAGGAACUCAUUGGUGAUUACCCAUGGCACAUCUGGAAUAACUUCAUCAACGCACCUUGAGGAAGUACAAUUCAAAUGUUUCACACACUCUAAUAUACAGAGAAAGCAACUAAUAGGAUUCAAAAUGUAGGGGUCCAAUAUUAAUGUAAUCAGGAAUUCAAAAGCAAUUUAAGUAAGAUGAACAAAUGGAUUGAAUUUUAUUUUUACUUUUUUAAGAUUUCAAGCACCAGUUAGAUUUUAGGAGACAAUUGAAAAAAAAAAAACCACGGAGGUUAUAGAGAAUUCAGGUAAGGGGAUGAAUCAUUUUAAUAUUAACUUACAGAAAUAUAAAUACAAACAAUCUUAAAGUCCAACAAGGAAUUCUCUAUAAAGUGUAAGAGACACACUUGUUUAAAUAAUUAACUUAUUAGACAAAGACAAACAUAUACACAUUAUUUUAAUAUUUCAUUCAAUAGUUUUCCUUUAACUUAUUUCAGUGUCUGUUGUAGAAUGAUUUAAAAGAAGACAAAUUCAGUAGACUCCUCUUAUUACUUUACCAUCCACUGUAAAAUGACAAUUGCCUAUACAAGACCAAGAAAAGGGUAACAUUAGAUACCAUAAAAUGUGAAGUGAAGUGUAACAUUUUACUACUAUUAUUACAUUCUACAGGGUAUCUAUGAGUUCUUACCUGUUCUGUUAUGUAGAGUGAAGUGUGUACUUUGUGUCCUCAAUUUUCAUGCAUUAUUACAUAGUUGCAUAUCUGCAUAAGAAUCUAUACAUUGUCUCCUAAGUUUCUUUGAAAGAAUAUUUUCUGUUUUAUUCAAUCUGUCUUUCAUCUAUAGCAAUGAUACAUAUAUAUAACCAUAGCAUUAGAACCGUACAGAUUCUUUUUCUAACAUAACAUCUGUAAUUAAGACUAAUUAUAGACCCAUUAAUAGUGAUUAUAUUCCUAUAAUUAAGUCUAAUUAUAGACUCAUUAAUAGUGAUUAUAUUCCUAUAAUUAAGUCUAAUUAAGUCUAAUAAUGAUUUUGUCCGGUAAUAUCCCCUCAAGUUGGAGCAUGUAAGUCUUGAAUGCCCAACUUGACCAAGAUGGCUCCAAACUUUUUAGCACCGAGAGCUUUGGUGAAAAGGUCAGACAAAACAAUUUAAUGAAUACAAAUGGAGCAUACAAAUCAAGAUUAGAAAUCACAACUUUAUUCAAAACACUUGGAAAAGGUUCAAAGUUCAAUAGAUUCCUAGAGAUUGUAAAUGAACAUAAUCUAGGGUUUUAAGAUGGGAAAGAUACACGGUGAGUUGUGCGGAAUUUCGAUGAACAAGCACAAAAAUAAAGGCAAAUGUGAGAAUGGAGCACAAAUCGAAACUUACGAUGAUAAGUUUGAAGAACUCGGCCUCCUUCGGAACAGAGAAGCGUCAUUGACCGUCGCGGAGUGCGUUGCCCGCGGAGUGCGUUGAUCGUAGAGUGCGUUCCCGUCAAGGAGUGCGUUGCCGUCGUCGCAGAGUUCCCGUUACAGUGGUUGUCAUUUUCGCCGAGAGUGAAAGACGAGUAGAAAAGUGUCAUUGGCCGUCGCAGAGUGCGUUGCCGUCGUCGCAGAGUUCCCGUUGCAAUGGUUGCCAUUGCCGCCGAAGUGAAUGACGAGUAGAAAAGGUUAAAGAAAGGAAGAUAAACAUAUAAAUUCAAAAUUGCAUACUAUUUGCUCUGAUUUAAAAAAAAAUAAAUGAGUUUUUAAAAAGAAUGCAUAUUUAUUUAAAUCAAUUCAUAAAUUUUUUAAUUUAAAUAAAAUUUUAAAUUUAUUAUUAAUUUAAUUUUAUAUUUAAAUAAAAUUAAAAAAAUUAAAUACUAUAUUUUUAAAUUGAUAUUAAAUAUUUUAAUAUUAUACUAAAAUUAAUAAAUUAGUAAAUUUAUUCAUAUUAAUUUAACAUAUUUUAUAAAUUAAAAAUUAAUAAUUAAUUUUAUAAAAUUUAAUUAUUCUAAAAUUAGUAUCUAAAUUUAAAUAACAGUGAAUAAAAAUUUUAAUAUCUAAUUAUAUGAUGAUUAGAAACUAAAAAAUUAGUUUCUAAUUUUAUUAUUUUUAGAGACCAAAUAUUAGUGUCUAAAAUAUAGAUUAAAAGUGACUAAAAAAAUGGUUUCCAAUUACAUCUUAAUAAGAGACUAAAAAAAUGGUCUCUAAAAAAAACUUAUUUUUAUUUUUGUUAUUAGCUACCAAAAAUAUAGUAUCUGAUUAUAUUAUAUUUUUUACUAAUAAUAGAUACCUUUUUAGCAACCAAUAAUUUUUAGUUUAUAAAAUAGUAUCUAAAUUACUUACUAUAGAAACUAUUAUUUUCAGGUUUCUAAAUUAGUUACUAUUAUAUCAUUUUAUUGUAGUGGUGGUUGAUCUUUCCUUGUUGUGUUCUACAAAGUGUAUGUGUUUGUAUUUGUAUUUGUAUUUGCUGCAGCUUCUUGCCUUAACCUCUUAUGGUUAGCCAAUUAAAAUCUUCAAAACAGUACCUACUAAGUAGGGAUAGACUCACCACAAGGUUAAUUCCACUUAACAAGCACCAAUUUGAAUUUUGUUCUCCAAUCAAUUUAGAGGUCAAGAAAUGAAAGCAAGAAACAAUUCAAAUUUAAAAAUAGGACAACAGCAAAUGAAUUUCAUUUAUAGGACACAACUAGAAGGAGUAUUGAAUAAUAUUGGACAAGCAAUAAAAAUAGGCACUCAACAAAAGGUAGCACACAAAUUGAACCUAGAGAAUGGCACUAGAAUUGAUUAGAAAAACCAAAACAGUACUACUGGAAAUUUUAGGUCCAAAAAGCGUGACUUAUAAAAUUUAUGCUGAGCUGGCUAUUUGAAAUUUGAUUCUGAAAAUUGAACCACAAACAAUCAAGGUCUUAGCAAACUUUUGGCGCUGGAAUCACACCAAAAUUAUGCACCAAAUAAUUGUGAUAAAAUUUUCAAAAUUCUUGUCCAAUUACCGUUUCUUUUGGCACCAGGAUGCACACUUUUUUUGUUUGAUUUAUCAUUUUUUUUCUGUUUUGUCUUUUGACCUGAUUAUUUUUUUCUUGAUUUUCUAAUACAUCAAUCUGUAUAGAUNNNNNNNNNNNNNNNNNNNNNNNNNNNNNNNNNNNNNNNNNNNNNNNNNNNNNNNNNNNNNNNNNNNNNNNNNNNNNNNNNNNNNNNNNNNNNNNNNNNNNNNNNNNNNNNNNNNNNNNNNNNNNNNNNNNNNNNNNNNNNNNNNNNNNNNNNNNNNNNNNNNNNNNNNNNNNNNNNNNNNNNNNNNNNNNNNNNNNNNNNNNNNNNNNNNNNNNNNNNNNNNNNNNNNNNNNNNNNNNNNNNNNNNNNNNNNNNNNNNNNNNNNNNNNNNNNNNNNNNNNNNNNNNNNNNNNNNNNNNNNNNNNNNNNNNNNNNNNNNNNNNNNNNNNNNNNNNNNNNNNNNNNNNNNNNNNNNNNNNNNNNNNNNNNNNNNNNNNNUAAAAUUGCAAUAAAGACUCAAAUAAACCAAAAACAGAACAGCAACACAAACUAUAUGGAAUCCUACACAAAAUUGCACAAGGAUUGCUCUAGAACAAUUGAACAAGAUGCACCGAUUGGAAUUUCCAAACAGCACACCAAUUCAAAACGAAAUUAAAAAACAACAAGACAAUAUGGAAGUGAUGAACAACAAGGAAUCCAGAAUCAAACACAAAAAUUAAAAUGAAAAGAAGAAGGCACACUUAGCUCUUGAAGAACCAUAGCUCAUGAUACCAAAUGAUGGAUUUGUGUCUUCUUCUUUACGGUUUUGAAGGUGAUUUGUGGAAGCUACACGGAUUGGAGAUGGAACAAGGUCCUCCUAAGAGUGGUGGUGACCUUGAAGGUGUAUGAUAGGUAGGAUUUGAGAGUGGUGAGGCCAACUCUACUUGGAAAGGGCGAAUUUGUGAAGAUUAAAAGCCUAACCUAGGAGGUUUUGGGCAAAGAGUGAUAUUGGCACAAUUUUGGCAGCAAUUCACUCAUGUAUUAAUCUUGAAUUUACAUUACCCAAACUCCUCUAUAUAUAGCAAGAGUGGGCUGAAAAUGAAAAGACAAUUGAAGGGAAAUUAAAAUGUUGGCACAUGGGAAGGUGGCUCCUAAAUUCAGCACAUGUGAGGUAGGUUCUAGAAUUCUUCCAUGUGCUAGGAGUUCUAGAACCUUUCGCUCCACUUAGGCUAAUGUGGGCUGGACCUAAGUUUAAUUAGGAGUAGGAAACUCUAAUUAAACUUAGGUUAGCAUUUUAGAUACCACUUUGCAUGUUUCAACAAAAAUACAAAAGAAUUAAACUAUGCUACUUUUGACAAAAAAUGUAAAAACUAUUCUACACUAGUGUCUAUGACAUGUAGAAUGCGUCCUCUUAACCCCUCUUUGACCAUAACUCUAAUGGUUGCCUCAAUUUGACAUUUUGGUGGCCUUUCAAUGGAUUGGUGUCGGGGCCUCUUCCAUCAGAAAGGUUAAGUCACUUUCUUCUAUCCCAUCAAUAUGAAAGAGGGAAGGUUGAUAAAACUUUGUUCAUUAAAAAGGCUGAUUUUGAUGUUAUCUUAGUACAGAUAUAUGUGGAUGACAUUAUAUUUGGCUCUUCUAAUGCAAAACUCUGUGAAGAUUUUGUCAAAGCUAUGCAGGGAGAGUUCGAAAUGUCAAUGAUGGAGGAACUUUCCUUCUUCCUUGGAUUUUAAGUCAAGCAAUCCAAAGAAGGUAUGUUUGUAUGCCAAUCCCAGUAUUGCAACGAUAUACUCAAAAAGUAUGAGAUGGAAACCUGUAAAGCUGCAGCAACGCCUAUGUCAACAAAUUGCUACUUAGGUGUUGAUGAAGCUGGACCAGAUGAAGUUGGACCAAAUACAGGGGGUUAAUAGGUUCUCUAUUAUACCUUACAGCAAGUAGACCAGAUAUAAUGUUUGUUGUCUAGCUCUAUACAAGAUUCCAAUGUUGUCCUGAGGAAUCUCAUCUCAAAGCUGCCAAGAGGAUCCUGAAGUAUCUUAGAGGCACAACAUCCAUGGGUUUAUGGUAUCCUUCACAUUCUCUUAUUCAUUUAGUAGGGUUAAUCAAAAUUUGAAGCUGAAUAUAUAGCUGCAGGAAGUUGUUGUGCACAAAUCUUGUGGAUCAAACAACAACUUGAAGACUUUGGAUUAAAGAUUUGCAAAGUUCCUUUGUUGUGUGACAACACGAUUGCCAUAAAUUUGAUAAAAAAUCAGGUUCAACACUCAAGGACAAAACAUAUUGAAAUUAGGCAUCACUUCAUCCAUGACCAUAUCAACAAUGGAGAUUGUGAAAUUCAGUUUGUCUUAACAGAAAGUCAGCUUGUAGACAUCUUCACCAAGCCCCUUUCCAAGGAGAGGUUUUAUUCUCUAAGGAAUGAAUUGGGUAUAAUUGAUAUGCAUGCCUUGUCUUAAAGUUUUUUUUAAUACUUCCUUUUUGUCUAUUUGUGAAGACAAAUAGGGGGAGAAAUAUGUUGGGAUUUUUAAUGUUCUUAUUUGUGCUUUUAAUACCUUUGAACAUUACUUAAACACUGCUUUAAAUGGUUUAACUUUGAAAUUUUAAAAACUGUUAAAAACUUUGAUACAAAAUUUCAACCAAUUAUUCCUACGAAAUAACCGAUUGUUUAUCUGUUUUUGCACCUGCGUAUGUUUGUUGGUUUCUCAUCUGAUUUGGCUAAUGUUUCUAUUUGGAUAUCACCUAGUGGGAACUAGUUUCUGGUGCUUAUUUGAUUGGAAUAGAUUACCCUAUGUUUCUAUGUUUGCUCAUGAAUGCAGGUUGAACAGAUUCUAAACAAAGAACAUUCCUAAAAGCAUCCCAAGGAUUUGUCUCCAUCAAAUAGGGGGAGAUUGUUAAGCAUGGGAGCUUUGAUGUUUCAAAUCCACAUGAAGCCUGAAGUUGUGUUGCUUUUGGUUUGGGUUUAGAUUAGGUUGUUUAGAAUCUUUGUAAAAGAUCAGUUCUUAAUCCUUACACAAAGCUUGACCAAUCUGUUUUAAAGAAACAAAGUGUUUUUCCAAGUAAAGGGAAAACAACUGAUUGAAUUAUCGAUAUAAUCGAUUGUUUGUCACUUAGUUGGCUUAAAGGUUUUGAAACUGUUUUUUGAAUUGGUUAUGCAACUACCUGACCCAUUCAACCGGUUAAAUCGUGGUUUCAACCGGUUAAAUAUGUGUUUUAAUAACAGUUUUUUGAAAACUUGUUUUAACUGUUUUGGAUGUAAUCAAAACUGUUUUAGCUAAUUAAAACUGCCUUAAACGGCUAGAUUUCAAAUGCUAUAAAUAUAGCCCUUCUUUCAAAGCAAAAAUAACAAGUUUUGAUACAGAUUUGAGCUCAAAGAGAAAGAUUAGUUUUUUAAAGAAGUUUUUCAAAGUUGCAAGAUUGUUGUUCAAACUUUGCUCUAGUAACAAGAUCUGAUUAUACGACUUCCUGUUGUGUGCAAUCUCAGGUGUUUUCUAUCCUUGUCUAGAUUCUUGUAAUUGUACUUUCUUAAAACUGAUGUGUGUGUAAAAUCUUGUAAAGACAGAGGGUGUUUUAUCUUGAGGUGUGUGGUGUUGCAAAGAGGAUGAGUGGAUCUUGUAGGUUUUCAAGGUCACCUCUUUGUGGUGUGUUGGUGUAAUCUGGAAUUGAUUAUUUGUGGAACUCAUAGGUUGUUCUGAGAACGGGAUGUAGCUUAAGGUUGAGUGAACCAGUAUAAACCCUGCUGUGUAAAUCUGUCUAUCUCUAUCACCUUAUAACUCUUUGAUUUUAUUUUGUUUCUGCUACUGGUAUAAACAACCGAUUAAACCGUGAUUUUAACCGAUUAAAAAUCUGAAAACAGUUUAUGUAUCAUUAAUUGAUUGCUUUCCUUCUUUGCUUAUCAGUGAUUGUUUGAUAAAGAUUCAUUCUUAAUCAAAUCUUUGCAAAAAUCUUUCAUAAACAACUCACCCCCCUCUUGUUUAAGCCAUCGAUUCUUUCAAUAUCACCACUGGAUCAUCCUCAUGAGGAACCACGUCCUCUAGGUCAGAGCACGUAAAACAGAGAGUGGUCUCUGGUGGAUGGUCGGGUCUCCUCACCUCCAUGGUCAUCACUGCUCUCGCAUAUCGCUUACGCUUGGAAGCAGAGUUCCCACCUCUAGAAAAUUCUCUUGAUAUGGUGUUCAGCUCUCCAUGGACCGGUAUCCCAUAUGCUUGGUCCUUGGGAGCAACCUCUCCCUUCGGCUCUUCCUGGUCCACCUCAAGGUAUUCCUUCAAGAAUCCAUCCUUCACCAAGCUCAUCAGUUGGUAACCCAGAGUUAUACAUCGCUCAACAUCGUGCCCAAAUUCCUUGUGGAAUUCGCACCACCUCCUUUCGUGCCCCAAAUUCCUGUCAAUCUUCUGAGAGAACCUCAGUUUUUUCAUGACCCUUGACACGCUCAGCAAUUCCUUGUAAGAUAUUCGGAACUUGGAUCGAAAUGCCAAGUUCUCCCUGGCUUUAGACUUGGACUCACUUCUCCUGGUUUGGUAUGGCGCACUUCUCGAGUUUGUUCUCUUCUCGGUCGAGGUUUCAUUAACCCUUAGAGGUCGGAACCAGCUACCCUCCUUAAGCUUGGUCUACCCUGAAUACGAGUUGUUGUGUUUCACAAACACAGCCUCCUCUGCGUUGAUAUGGGAGAUAGCCCGUCGUCGUAUCUCGGCAAAUGUCUCUGUCGGGUUCCUGAUCAAUGAGUCGCAAAAUGGUCCUGCCAUGAUUUCUUGUUUGAAGGCGUUGACCAUCACGACCUCGUCAUGGGUCUAGAGCUUCACUGUAAGCUCCCAUAAUCUAUUUAGGUAUUUUUUUAGACUCCCCUUGCCUCUGUUUCACGCUAAAAAGGUCAUAUGAAAUUGGAGGUUUGACCUGGUUGACAGAGAGGUGUUCCCUGAACAACCCAAAAAACUGGUCAAAAGAUGUGAUGUGGCCAUCAGGAAGCCCACUAAACCACUGCAUGGUUGUACCUAUGAAUGUACCCAUGAACAUCUUGCAAUGGAUAGCAUUUAUUCCCUCAUAAAUAAUCAUCUGGGCAUUGAACAUCGUGAGAUGAUUUUCAGGGUCUUAUACCCCCGUGAAAAUGAUCUUGGGCGUGAUGUAGUGUGGUGGCACAAACUCAUCCAUGAUUGCCUGGGAGAAUGGUGUGGGACGAGCUAUCAGGGGCGCAUUCAAACCUCGCUCCCUUGUGGAGCGUUGAUCACGUUGUUGUAUACUCUUGCGCAAGUCCUCGUUGGUUUUGCGCAAUUCCUCGUUGUUUGCUCGCGAAGCAUCUAUCUCCGCCAUCAAGAUCUUGCCUAAGCACUUUCUCAGCUCAAGCUUCUGCAAUGAGCUUCUUCUGCUCGGCUUUAGCUUCUGCGAUUAGCUUCUCCCACUCAGCCUUAGCUUCUUGUCGGAUUCGCUCUUGCUCUCGCCUGUACUGCUCGUUGGCUUCUUGGAGAGCUCUUACGGUCUCCAUGAGUUGUUGUAAGGUGGGGACCUCACUUCCUUCAGAUCCCACAGGCAUCCCAAAAAUGUGUUUUUGGAAAAUCUGGUUUGGGGUUUAAUCCUCAAAGCAAGAAAAAUGGGAUUUCAAAGCCUUUUUCAAAAGUGCCAGAAAAACAACCGAUUGAAAAAUCGAAACAACCGGUUGUUACAUGUUUUUAUUGCAUGAAGAGAGGUCACUCUGUUAGAUUCUGUAAAAUUAGGAAGUAUUUUGUUCCUAAAGGUAUUAUGAGAUGGAUUCCCAAAGAUUCUGAAGUUCCCAAUGAUAAAUGUAAAUCAAAAGGACCCCCAUUUGUAAGGGGACCAAAUCUUGUUACUUGAAUUUAUUCUCUGAUAGCACUGCAUAAAAUUGAUUUAAUUUCUUUAUGCAUUCUAUCUUUUACAGAUUUCAAUCUUAAAGGAAUUAUGAGUCAAUAAAGUAGUCAUAAGAGUCUGAUUUGGUUUAGGAGGAGGUUACUUUUUUGUCAUAAAAUGAAUAUAUUCCAUAUCUUGGAAAUUCAAGUGCCUUUAUGACUAGUCAAAUCCACAUGUAUUGACCAUGUGUUUUUCUGGUAUGGGUUGACGUGGUUACUGUGCAAGCUUGGACCAGAUUCCUCUUCUUGAAGACUAAAACCCACUGCAACCAAAGGAUCAAAGAGGAUUUCUGUUUUGCUAUAAAACCCUCUACAAUUGUUUUUCUAUACAAAAACAACCCAUUGACACAUCUCUUGCUGGUUCUCAUAUUUGUCUUUAUUUUCUUUUUCUUGCAUUCUAUUAUCAUGGAUUCCCCUCCUCCAUCAUCAAAAGGGAUUAAAACCAGGUUUGUAAGAACAGGAGGGCAUCUUGAAGGCUGGUUUUCAGGAGACAAUGAGUUGAUUGAAAAAUAUCGCUUUGAAACAAGUAGAAAAGUGAUAAACAACCCAAAAGUUGUCUCUUUCAGCUGGUUGAAAAGUCAAAAGCUGGAUCAUGUGAGAAAUCUUCUUAAAGAACAGCUACUAAAGAAGUUCUUGGAGAUGAAAGGGAACAUUUAUCCUGAUCUUAUUUGGGUUUUCUACACCAACUUGAAGUUUGUUGGCAAUAACCUUUUUUCUCAUGUCAAAGGUGUGGAUAUGGAGAUUACUCAUGAGGUAUGGACUGCUGUAACUAGUUUAAAGUAUGCUGGGAUGGGAAUCAACAAAGGGAAUAUUGGUGUGGUGGAAGAUCUCAACAAGAUUCAGUAUUAUAGAAGUUGUUUGAAGAAUCCUUAACCACAAGUAAGAACUUGUUCUGUUGGAGGGUUGAAGUUGAAUGCAAGGUUGUUGGCUAUCAUUGUAACACCAAGAGGGAGCAAUCAUUCUGUUCUCACUAAGGAAGAUCUUGUCUACAUAUACUACAUUAUGAGCAAAGUCAAGAUCAAUUGGAUCCAUAUCAUCAAGGAACACAUGCAUAAAUCUCUGAGGUUAAGUGACUAUCAUUAUCCUUAUGCUAUCUUGAUUUCUAAAUUCUUAAACUAUUUUGAAGUAGAUCUUGAGGAAGAAACAUCUGAAUUGGUGAAAUCAACACAUGAAGUGAACAAUGGUUCACUAAGCAAAGAUGGGUUUUACCAAGAUUGGUGGAAGAUGGGUAAGUAAGGAUGGUGAACAUGGUGGUUCCUCAAGUGGUGCACAUGCUGAACAUGAUGAAAAAGAUCAAGAAGUUGUUGAAGGUGCUGAUGUUGAUGCUUAAAAUGAAGAUCAACCUGCUGCUGACAUUGGUGUGGAACAAGUGUUAGAAAUCAAGGAAAUAAAAUUCUCUGUCUCCUUUUGAGAGAUUCAUGGUCAAUAGGUUGGACAACUUUCCUGAAAAUCAAAGGAAUCUUCAUGAUCUUUGUGCUACAAACUUUCAGAACUUUGACAACAGAUUUCAAAGCAUGGAUACAUCUUUUCAGACCCUUGAUGAACAAAUUGAAGUUGUUCAAAACCAACUUUUUGAUCUGCAGUAUGGGAAAGAAGAUUGAAGCCAAGUUUUGUUAAAAUUCUAUGCUAGUAUUGCUUUAUUUUUGAACUAUUCUGUUUUUAUCUCUUCCUCAUUCUAUUUGUGAAGACAAAUAGGUGGAGAAUAUGGUUUAUGUGUUAUCUUAAAACUGCUAUAACAUGCUAUAAACUAUGAUUUAAGUUUCUGCUGCAUACGAUGUUUGAUUUGGUGCUGCAGAUUGGUGUGUUUUGGCUUAGUUUGUGGCUGAUUUUUCUACUCUUGUGGUUAUGUAGAAAACUAGUUGAUGUGUAAUCAUAACCUGCUAUUAGAGACGCUCUGGAUUGCAUAGUUUCUAUUUUACAGGUGAUGUUUCAUAUUCAAACAAGACCAACACAAGCAACCAGGGAUUUGUCUUCAUCAAAUAGGGGGAGAUUGUUGAUCAAGAGUGAUCAAGAGCUUUGAAGAAUCCAAAUCCAAGGUGUUUGAUGAAAGGUUGGUGUUGCUGUUGUGUGUGGGUGGGAUUUGGGUAGAUUAAUGUGUGAUCCACUCUUUUGUUGAAUCUAAAACUGAUGUGAAUUAAAACCUUUUUGAAAUUAAAUGUUUUUCCAACUAAGUGAAAAACAACCUGUUGUUUUGUCGAAUCAAUCGAUUGUUUUGUUCUUAGAUGUUUUGAAAAAGGUUGAAAGUUGUUUAAUUUGGUUGACUUCACUCUCAAACCAAAUCAAUCGGUUGUUUCGUGGUUUCAACUGAUUGUUUCUUUGAAAAUCCUAACAAAAUUCUGUUUUGAAUGGUGAAUAUUUUUUAAAUGAUUUCUAACUAAAUACGCUCCUUCAUUAAAUGUUUUGACCAAUCUUUGGAAAAUAUAAAUAGUUUGUUAUAUGUUUUUAAAGUGUAAGAAACAGUUUUGAGAAAUUCAGUUUGACAUAUUUGAUCUCAAGUUUUCAAAAUUCACAUCAAGCUUUGGAUUUUCAAGUGAGAGUGGAAAAGGAUUGCAAAUGUAUUCUUUUUCAGAUUGUACUUUGAUAAGGUGUAAUCCUUUCUCAUUCUUUUGUAUUUCUGUUAUUGUAUUUCCAAGGAGUGUUGUGUGUUCUUGAGGUGUUCAAGAUCAAUAAUCUUAGUGUGGUUUGCCAAAGGUAGUGUGUUUCUUGAGGGGUUCAAGGUCACUACUUUGGUGUGUGGUGUUUUGUAAUCUGGUUUGAUUGCUUAGUGGAUUACCCAAUGGUUUCUGGGAACUAGAUGUAGCUCUUGUUGUAAGAGUGAACCAGUAUAAACUGUUUGUGUGCAUUUCUCUGUCUCUAAAUUCCUUUAAAUUUUGUUUUUAAGUUGUUUAAGUUUUAACUGGUAUAAACAACCAAUUGAUUCGAAGAAACAACCAAUUGUUUUUCUGUGUUUUGCUUUAAAACAGUUUGUGUUCUUGGCUAACUUGAUUCCCCUUCUGGAUUUCUACACAAAAUUUCAUUAAACCUUCAAAAGUUUUCGAAAAUAUAUUACAAACAAUUCACCCCCCCUUUUGUUUAAGGCCAUAUAUUCUAAAAAUUGUUUGAUUUAAAAGAAUGAAAUUGUCAUGUGUUUAUCAAUUAUGUGUUAGAUUAUUGCAUUUGAGACAAGUUGAUUCAAGUGGUAGUUAUUUGAAUUAAAAUAUUCAAAUGUUAGACAUAAAAUGAAGUGAAAUAUUCAAGUUGUGCACCUAAUCUCUAGCGCCACCUGCUUUGUGGGUGCCGUAAGUAUUCACGUGCCAUGCAUGCAACUUUCCCUGGAAACCCUACCCCUAAUGGGCCUUAGCUCCUCCCAAGAUUAUUCUCUCAUGUCGCGCCUACAUGCGCUAUACACACCACGUGCAUGGAUCCUUCGUGACUUAGGCUUCCCACAUAUCUCAUGUCUUAACUGUUAACUUAGCAUAACUCUAGGGCCCACCUUACGUGGCCCACUACAUCGUCCAGACAGCCGAUGUCCGAUCUCUUCCCCUGUUGGCGAGGUCCUAUGUCGAUCUCCAACAUCGGGGUCUAUGAUACCAAUGUCCGAAGACUAACCAUUCCCCUGGUAAAUGCAUCUGGGGCCCACCUUACGUGGUCCCCUUCCAUUACCAAGUGUCGUUGUGCGAUGUCUGAGGUCAGUCACUGGGGUCGAUGACCGAGGACUGGUCGGGACAGAAAAGGUCUAAGCUCAUUUAGUAUAUAUAAUAGGGAAAUACAUGUUUUUAAUAACUUCAUAGAGCAGGCCGAGUUGGUGGACAUUCCUAUGGUUGGGAGAAGAUAUACAUGGCACAAACUAAAUGGAACUGUUACUAUGUUUAUACAACACUUUUACACUCGUGACCUAUUUUAACGUUGCCUAAAAGAAAAAAUGUUGUAGUGUUUGUUUCACAAAUGUCAUUUAGAUAUUUUGAGGAAUUACAUUUUUUUAAAAAGGUAAGGGAAGCUAAUUAAUUUGUUAUAGUACCUUAAGAUAGAUGUUAUGGAUGUGAAAGUGACAUGGUUAUAAUAAUUGAUUUUAUGUAGGGAUUGUGCGUUUUUUUAAUAUACUUUGAAUGUUUGAGUUUGAGAUGAAAUUGAUUGAUUUAAAAGAAUGAAAUUGUCAUGUGUUUAUCAAUUAUGUGUUAGAUUAUUGCAUUUGAGACAAGUUGGUUCAAGUUGUAGUUAUUUGAAGUAAAAUAUUCAAAUGUUAGGCAUAAAAUGAAGUGAAAACUUCCAAUUAGGAUACUUGCAUUGCUUUUUAGAAAUUUUGAAUUAUGUAGAGUCAUUAGGCAAAAUUCAUUUCAUUCAAGCUGACAAUGGUUUGGUCGUUGAAUGAGUCAAGUUUUUCUAGAUUCAUUUAAUUGACAAGUUUUAUAAAUGGGAAUAACUUUAGUGUGAUUGAAAGAACUUGGAAGUUAGGUGUAACAAUAAAUAUCAUAGUUGUAAAUGUGUAUUGUUAUUGUCCGUUGGGUGAAUAUAGGAGAAUUUGGGAUGAUAUUUGCGAGAUUAGAAAGAACCAUGUCUCCAAGAUAUGGUGUAUGGUUGGAGAUUUUAACUCCAUUAGGUUAAACGGGGAGAGAAAAGGUCUAAGCUCAUUUAGUAUAUAUAAUGGGGAAAUACAUGUUUUUAAUAACUUCAUCGAGCAGGCCGAGUUAGUGGACAUUCCUAUGGUUGGGAGAAGAUAUACAUGGCACAAACCAAAUGGAACUGUUAAGAGUAGAAUUGAUAGAAUACUAGUCUCAUCUAAAUGGUUAGAGAGUUGGCCAAACACUAAACAAUAUGUGUUGGGUAUGUCUGUGUCAAACCAUUGUGCAUUGAUACUUAAAGUUUUAGAUAAAGAUUAGAGACGUAAACCCUUUAGAUCUUUGGAUGUUUGGCAGAAGGAUAAUAGGUUUAUAGUUUUUGUAAGGGAAAAAUGGAGCAAUUAUAAGAUACAAGAUCAUGGGUUGUUUGUAAGGAAAGAGAAGCUAAAAAAGUUAAAAGUCGUCAUAAAGGUGUGGAAUAGAGAGGUUUUUCGAAAUGCUAAUCAGAAAGGUGAAGAAAUUGAAAUGAAAAAUCAAAUGGUAUAUGAGAGGGAUGAUUUAGAGGUUUUGGAUGAGGAUGGAAGAGUUGAAAGGAAGGUUUUAUUGGGAAUUAAGUAGAAUAAAGUUUAAGCAAAAGGAAUUUGGUAAAUAAAAAGCUAGAUACAGAUGGAUUAGGCACGAGGAACUUAACACAAUAUGUUUUUCAUUUAGUUAUUAAAUGGAGAAUAACACAAAAUGGUAUUAAUGGAUUGAAAGUUAGUAAUCAAUGAUGUGAGGAUCCGAUAGUAAUUAAAGGCAGAGUAAAAAAACUUUUUAGUGAAAGAUUUAGUAGAAAUGAUUGGAUGCAGAUGUUAGAAUAUAUGGCCUUAAAAGAGAGGGGGAGGGGGGGGGUGAAUUGUUUAAGAGAGGUUUUUGAAAUUUUUUAAAGUUUAACAAAAUUCUUCGUGUGAAUCCAGAACAGAAAUCAUGUUAGCCAAGAACAAAAGCAAUAAAACAGCAAAGCAACAUAAAAACAAUUGGUUGUUUCUUUGAAACUAUCGGUUGUUUAUACCAGUAAAGCUUAAAACAAAAUUUAAAUGAGUUUGAGGGUAAGAGAGAAAUACACCAACAGUUUAUAUUGGUUCACUCUUAAGCCAAGAGCUACAUCCAGUCCCUAGAAAACCACUGGGUAAUCCACUAAGUAAUCAAACCAAAUUACAACACACAAACCACCAAAGUAGUGACCUUGAACCCUUCAAGAAACACACUCCCUUUGGCAAAUCACACACCAAGAGUAUUGAUCUUGACCACCUCAAGAGCACACAACACUCAUUGGCAACACAACACCAGAAAUACAAUAGGUUGAGAAGGGAUCACACUUGUUUACAGAACAAACUGAAAUCAAUACAAUUGCAAUCCUAUUCCACUCUCUUUGAAAACCCAAAGCUUGAUCUGAAUGUUCAAAUCUUGAAAUCAAUUUUUUCUCAACUGAAAAACUCAAAUUUUUUUCUCUACUUUGUUUGAAAACAUAAACAAACUAUUUAUAUUUUUCCAAAGAUUGGUCAAAGCAUUUAAUGAAGGAGUGUAUUCAGUUCGAAAUUAUUUAAAGCAUAUUCAACCACCAAAACAAAAUUUUGUUAGCAUUUUCAAAGAAACAAUCGGUUGAAACCAUGAAACAACCUAUUGUUUGGGUUGGUAGUUAAGUCAACCAAACUAAAACAGUUUUCAACCUUUUCAAAAACUCCUAAGAGUAAAACAACCGGUUGAUUCGACAAAACAAUAGGUUGUUUUUCACUUAGUUGGAAAAACACUUUAUUUUCUAAAAGGUUUUAAAUCACAUCAAUUUUAGAUUCAACAAAGGAGUGGAUCACAUCUAUUCUACCCAGAUCCCUCCCAAAACACAAUAGCAACACUAGCCUUGUAUUAAACACAUAGGAUUUGGAUUCUUCAAAGCACUUGAUCACUUUUAAUCAACAAUCUCCCCUUAUUUGAUGAAGACAAUCCCUGGUUGCUUGUGUUGACCUUGAUUGAAUCUGAAGUUGUACCUGCAAAACAAAAGCUAUGCAAUCCAGAGCAUCUUUCAUAGCAGGUUAUGAUCAUACAUCAACUAUUUUUCUGCACAAACAUAAGAGAAGAAAAACCAGCCAAAAAACAACUUCAUACAAACCAAUAAUGCAGCAGAAAUUAAAAAAAAAACCGAAUAAAAGAAGAGUUACAGCAGUUUGUAAGACAACACAAACACCAUAUUCUCCCCCUAUUUGUCUUCACAAAUAGACUAUAGGAAAUGAUUAAACAAAAGUUCAAAAUAAAACAAAGUCAAGCUUAACCGAUUGUUUUUCUUCAGUCUUCCUUUCCACAUUGCAGCUCAAAAAAUUGAUUCUGAACAACUUCAAUAUGUUUAUCAAGCGUUUGAAACCGUGUAUCCAUGCUUUGGAAUCUAUUAUCAAAGUUCUGAAAGUUUGAAACAUAAAGAUCAUGAAGAUUCCUUUGAUUUUUUGCAAAGCCAUCUAGCCUAUUCACCAUGUAGCUCUCAAAGGAAGACAUUGAAGGAGUCCCAUCUCCUUAAUGUCCAACACUUGUCCCAGCACCAAAAUCAGUAGCAGGUUGUUCUGUAUGUGGAAGAUCCACAUCAACAAUUUCAUCAUCUUCUUGAUCUUCUUCACCAUGUUCAGCAUGUCCACCAUCCUUACUCACCCAUUUUCCAUUGAUCUUGGUAAAACCCAUCUUGCUUAGUGAUCCAUUGUUCACUUCAAAUGUUGACUUCACCAACUUAGAUGUUUCACCAUCAAGAUUCACUUCAAAAUAAUAUAAGAAUUUUGAAAUCAAGAUAGCAUAAGGGUGAUGAUAAUCACUUAACCUCAUAGACUUUUGCAUAUGCUCCUUGAUGAUGUGUGAUGAGAAAAUCAACUAAAGGUGGCUUUUUAUAAUGAAGAACAAGAUCAUUCGCCUUCACAUUUAAAUUUUUUCUUGUUAAUCUUUGCAAAAGAUAAAGCCCAAGCCCAAGCCCAAGAAGGCCAAAGCCCACAAAAGCCCAAAGUCCAUCCCAUGAAGGGCAAGGCCAAGUAUUAAAUAAAUAUUGUUUAGAAAGGUGCUUAGAGGGAAACAUUAGAAACCUCUAUUGUUAAAGCAUCUUUUAGUCUUUAGUUAGGAGUCUUAGGGGGUGUGUGUUAGUAGAUAGGUGUAGGAGUAAAUAAGGAGGUGCCAAAGUGAGAGAAGGGAUCACACCUUCCUCAUGCAUUGUUUUAGGCGCCAAUUCUAGAAGUUUUUAGGAGGGAGUUUUUGAAUUUGUGUAGCUUGCAUUUCAGCACCUUAGGCUAUAAAUAUAGGUGCUUCCUUUGUAAAAUUCAGAUUGGAAUUUAUCUAAAGAAACUAUACUCAAAUUUGGAGUGAGCAUUGGAGAGCUUUUGAGCCUUCUUCUCUAGUCUUAUCUUGAAGGAUCCAUGGUGUCCUCAAGUGGCGGCAGCACACUCAUCUAGGAGCAACCAUACUUCUAGUGGCGUGAUCAUUCAUCAUUCAUCCAUCUUCAUGAGCACUCUCUUCUCCUUCCUUCCUUCUCUUUCAAUUGUUCUUGUUGUUUUAUGUUCUUGAGCUUUUUUGGUUCGGCUGUUCUUAUUUUUCCAGCAAUCAUUUUCAGUACUUUGCCUUUUAAUUUCUUUUUGUUCGGUUCAGUUUGUUCCUUAUACAAUUCUGUUCGGUGAUUUUAAGUUUUACCUCUUUUUGUUGGUUCAAUUUGACAAUAUGAGGAACUUCCAUGUGAGUUUGGAUUUGGUGCUAGUUUUGGUGAGUUCUAAGAAAAAGGGCCUAACAUCAAUGUGUAUCCAAUUAAUCUUGACUUUGUUCAUUAUGUAGUAGAUGUAGAGAAGAUCUUCCUCAGUUAGGACAGAAUGGUUGCUUCCUUUUGGUGUUAGAAUCCAAGUGACAAAGAGAGCCAACAACCUUUCAUUUAAAUUCAGCCCUCCAACCGAACAAGUUCUAACUUGAGUAUGAGGAUUCUUCAAACAGCUUUUGUAAUAUUGAAUCUUGUUGAAGUUUUCCACCACACCAAUGUUUCCUUUGUUGAUUCUCAGCCCAGCAUACUUCAGACCAGCCACUGCAGCCCACACCUCAUGAGUCAUCUCCAUAUCCACACCCUUGACAUGAGAAACAAAAUUGUUACCUUCAAAUUUCAAAUUGGUGUAGAAGACCCAAAUGAGAUCCGGAUAGAUGUUUCCUUUCAUCUCCAAGAACCUCUUUAACAGUUGUUCUUUGAGAAGCCUCCUCACAUCAUCCAGCUUUUGACUCUUCAACCAGCCAAAAGAGACAAUUUUUGGGUUGUUUAUCACUUUUCUACUUGUUUCAAAGCGAUAUCUCUCAAUCAAUUCAUUGUCUCCUGAAAACGAGCCCUCAAGACGUCCUCCUGAUCUCACAACCCUGGUUUUAAUUCUUUUUGAUGUAGGAGGAGUGGAAUCCAUGAAAACAGAAUGAGAAAAAGGAAAACACACAAGGAGAGAAAAAGGCAAACACACAAGGAGAGAAAGAAACGUAGCAAGAGAUGGGCCAAUGGGUUGUUUUGUGAAGGAUAUCAAGGAGAAAGAAUGCCAACUUCUGAGCUGGUCAAGUCAACUCAAGAGUUGAACAAUGGAUCACUCAGCAAGAUGGGCUUUACAAAAGUAGGUGGAAAAUGGAUAAGCAAGGAUCGUGAUCAUGGUGCCUCAUCUAGUGCUGCAAAUCUAGAACAAGAUGAACCUGCUGAUAUGGAUGUUCAACAUGAAGAUCCAACUGAAGAUUUUCAAGAUGCAGGACCUAGUGCUGCUGAUGGACAUCAAGGAGAAAGAAUGCCAACCAUGUCGUCUUUUGAAAGACUCAUGAUGAAUAGGCUUGAUACCUUUGCUGAAAAUCAAAGGAGUCUCCAUGAUCUCUGUGUUAGUAAUUUCCAAAGGAUUGACACCAGGUUUGACAACAUGGAUGCUAGGUUUAUGACUCUGGAUGAAAAGAUUGAAGCUGUCCAGAAUCAAAUCUUUGAUCUUCAGUUUGCUGAUGAAGAAGAAUGAAAGAAAAAUAACCGAUUGGUAAUCGAAACAAUCGAUUGUUUUUGGCUGUUCUUUUCGGGUUUUAAAAUUACUUUCCUUCUGCUGUUGCUGUUUAAUUCUGAUGUAAUCAAAACAAUAUCUUGUUUUAUCUCUUAUCUUUGUCUAUUUGUGAAGACAAAUAGGGGGAGAUAUAUGUUGUGUUUCUAGUUUGUUUUAAGUUUCUGUUUUUCAGUUGAUAAAAACAGUUUGAAAUAUGUAAUAUAUCUCUGAUAUUAGAUGUUUUAAGCUUUAAACUGUUUAUUUGUAUGCUAACAAAACAUCAGAAGUUCAAUGUAUUGCUCAAAUUUCUAUUGCAGGAACUGCUUCAGAUUUAAUCAGGUACAACACAAGCAUCAGGGGUUUGUCUUCAUCAAAUAGGGGGAGAUUGUUGAACCAAAUGGUGUUCAAUGUUUUGAAGAAUCCAAAUCCUUUGAAGAAUGAUGAAGCCUCUGCUUUGCUUAAUGUUGUUGUGCUGGUUUAAGCUUUGUUCUGGGGUAUUUUAUAUGUUGUAAUCCACCCUUUGAUUAAAUCUCAAGCAAUUAGCAUCUCAAUCUUUAUGAAAGUAAAAUGUUUUUCAAACUAAGUUGAAACAGUCGGUCGAAACAACCGAAUGUUUAUACUUAGGUGUUUUGAGAAAGAUUGAAAAUUGUUUUGAAUGGUUGAAACUGAUAAGUACCAAAACAACCGAUUGAUUCGAGGAAACAACCGAUUGUUUGUUUUGGAAUCAUAACAGAAAAACUAUUUUGUGUUUGACUGAGCUUUAAAUGCUUUAACUGUAUACGCUCCAGUCGUUAAAUGCUUUGACCAAUCUUUUAAUGCAAUUUAAGAGUUUGUUAAGAUUUGAUAACAAACUACAUCUUUGAAUAUAUUAAGAAAAACAUAUUUGAGAAUUAAGUAAUCUUUUGACAAAGUUUUUCUAAAGAGUUUUUUUUUUCAAAGAGCUGAGAUUGCUAAGAGUUUCUGAUUGAUCAAGGUGCUGGAAUAGGAUUCUACUUGUAUUGAUUUCAGAUAUUCAUCUGUAACAAGNNNNNNNNNNNNNNNNNNNNNNNNNNNNNNNNNNNNNNNNNNNNNNNNNNNNNNNNNNNNNNNNNNNNNNNNNNNNNNNNNNNNNNNNNNNNNNNNNNNNUGUUGAACAAUUUGUUUCUGUGUUUGCUGAGAUUGGUUGUGUGUUCUUGAGGUGUUCAAGAUCAACAAUCUUAGUGUUGGCCAAGGAGAGUGUGUUUCUUGAGGUGUUCAAGGUCAUUCUCUUGGUUGUUGUGUAAGUGAUCAAGGUGUGGUUGCUUAGUGGAUAUCCUCAAGGUUUCUGAGAAGACUGGAUGUAGCUCUGGUUUGGAGUGAACCAGUAUAAACAAUUGUGUACAAUCUCUCUAUCUCUAACUCUUUAAAUUCAGUUUAUUUGUUGUUUGCUGGUAUAAACAAUCGAUUGUUUUUCUGGUACUACAGCUUUUGCUUGCUGUUUUGGCUAACUGAAUUGCUGAAUCAAUUGGUGUCUAAGAUAAUUUCAUUCUAGUUUGUGAAAAUUGUGAAAACCCUUUUAAAACUAUUCACCCCCCCCCUCUAGUUUAAAGCCAUAUUUUCUAACACCUUCUUUAUUUGGGCAAUCAACUUUUAUAUGCCCUUGUUCUCCACAACCAAAGCAAGUAUAAUUGUUAGAAUUGAAAUCACUAGUUUUCUUGUUUCCAUACCUUUCUUUGUUGGAUUCUUUGUUGCGAUUUCUCUUCAAGAAUUUGUUGAACUUUUUAGACAGCAAGCUAAGGUUUUCUUCCUCACCUUCAUCACUUGAAUCUUGCUUAUUCUUGUGCUUGACAACUUUCAAGGAAACCAUCCUUUUCAAAUUUAGGAAUUAAAGGGCAAUUUUCAAUUGUAUCCCAAAUUCCUUUACCAAGAGAUUCAACAAAGAUUUUCAUUCUAACUUUCCAAAACUGAUAAUUCAAACCACAAAACAAGGGUGGCCUGAUAAUUGAGGCACCCUCCCCAAAAGGCAGUUUUUCAGCCAUAGAAAAAAAAUUUAGGAUCAAACUUGAAAAUUUUUCAAGUACCAAGCUUUUGAUGUCAAUUGUUAGAAUAUAUGGUCUUAAACAAGAGGGGGUGAAUUGUUUAAGAGAGGUUUUUGAAAUAUUUUUAAAGUUUAACAAAAUUCUUUGUGUAAAUCCAGAACAGAAAUCAGGUUAGCCAAGAACAAAAGCAAUAAAACAGCAAAGCAAUAGAAAAACAAUAAGUUGUUUCUUCGCAACAAUCGGUUGUUUAUACCAUUAAAGUUUAAAACAUAAUUUAAAUGAGUUUGAGGGUAAGAGAGAAAUACACCAACAGUUUAUAUUGGUUCACUCUUAAGCCAAGAGCUACAUUCAGUCCCUAGAAAACCACUGGGUAAUCCACUAAGUAAUCAAACCAGAUUACAACACACAAACCACCAAAGUAGUGACCUUGAACCCUUCAAGAAACACACUCCCUUUGGAAAAUCACACACUAAAAGUAGUGAUCUUGACCACCUCAAGAGCAUACAACACUCCUUGGCAACACAACACCAAAAAUAUAGUAGGUUGAGAAGGGAUCACACUUGUUUACAGAACAAACUAAAAUCAAUACAAUUGCAAUUCUAUUCCUACUAUAAUUGCAAUAGGUUGUUUUUCACUUAGUUGGAAAAACACUUUACUUUCUAAAAGUUUUAAAUCACAUCAAUUUUAGAUUCAACAAAGGAGUGGAUCACAUUCUAUUCUACCCAGAUCCCUCCUAAAACACAACAGCAACACCAGCCUUGCAUCAAGCACAUAAGAUUUGGAUUAUUCAAAGCACUUGAUCAACAGCAGAUUGGGUUAGACCAAGUACAUUUUGAUACCAUUUCCAGAUAAGAUAAUGAAGUUUUUAUAAGAAAUAUAAUUUAAGAGCAAAUAAAAUAGGUUGUUUGGGAAUGUGAUAGUGUUCAAACUCUAGGGUAGGAUGGAUUUAAUUUUGGUACUAUAAAACUUUGCUGGGAAAUUAUAAAGGAUGAUAUUGUGAAUGUUGUACAAGAUUUUGCAGAAGGAAGGGGCUCGCCAAGGAGGACAAAUACAUCGUUCAUAUAUUUGAUCUCUAAGGUUGAUAAUCCGCAUAACUUAAAUGAUUUUAGGUUGAUUUCUAGUCGAUUGCAUGUAUAAAAUAGUUUCGAAGAUACUAUUUUAUACAUGCAGAUUCGGUUAGACCAAGUACAUUUUGAUACCAUUUCCAGAUAAGAUAAUGAUGUUUUUAUAAGAAAUAUAUUUGAAGAGCAAAUAGAAUAGGUUGUUUUGGAAUGUGAUAGUGUUAAAACUCUAGGGUAGGAUGGAUCUAAUUUUGGUACUAUAAAACUUUGCUGGGAAAUUAUAAAGGAUGAUAUUGUGAAUGUUGUACAAGAUUUUGCAGAAGGAAGGGGCUCGCCAAGGGGGACAAAUACAUCGUUCAUAUAUUUGAUCUCUAAGGUUGAUAAUCCGCAUAACUUAAAUGAUUUUAGGUUGAUUUCUCUAGUCGAUUGCAUGUAUAAAAUAUUUUUGAAGAUACUAUCAAAUAGGAUAAUAAAAGUGCUUAAUAAAGUAAUUGAUUAUAGACAAUCAACUUUUUUAGAAGGUAGAGGGCUCAUGGAUAGUGUUUUAGUGGCUAAUUAAGCAAUAGAUGAAUUAAAGAGAAAGAGCCUUAUGGGAGUCUUCUUCAAAUUGGAUUUUGAGAAAGCUUACAACUAUGUUAGUUGGGGAUUCAUUUAUUAUAUGUUAGAGAGGCUAGGUUUUUGUGCAAGGUGGAUACAUUGCAUAAAAGAUUGUCUUGAAUCAUCAACAAUAUUCAUACUGUAAAUGGAAGUCCAACGGAGGAAUUUAAACCACGAAAGGGGUUGAAACAAGAAGAUCCGUUGGCUCCUUUCUUAAUUUUAGUAGUAGUAGAGGAUUUGGAAGGGAUGGUAAGACAAGCAUAAGGAAAAUAACUAUUGGGAAGUGUUGAAAUAGGUGAGAGAAAGGUCAAAGUAAGUAUGUUGCAGUAUGCAGACAAUACUUUGUUUUGUUGCAAAGAUAAUUUUCAGAGUUUAUUUAUCAUAAUGUCAAUUAUGUAUUGCUUAGAGUCGGCUUUUGGUUUGAAAGUGAAUUGUUCUAAGAGUAGAAUUGGAGGGGUUAAAUAGUUUUGCAUCUAUCCUCAACUGCGAAUUAAUGAAAAUUUCCUUUACUUAUUUGGGAAUGGAGGUGGGAGGAUAUCAUAAGAGAUAUAAAUUUUGGGGAGGUGUGCUAGGGAAUGUAAGGAAAAUGUUGGACAAUUGGAAAGGGAAGUACUUAUCUAUGGCUGGUAGGACUUGUAUGCUAAAAUUUGUAUUAACUUUUAUACCUUUGUUUUAUCUGAAAGUGUUUUUUGUUCCUGUGGUAGUGAUGAAAGAGUUAGAAAAAGGUUCAAAAUGAGUUUCCUUGUGGCUAGGUUCAAAGGGGAGGAAAAUAUCCUAGGUGUCUUAGGAAAAAGUAUGUGCAGGAAGAGAAUAUGGCGGGUUAGGUAUGAUGGAUAUCAGGAAAUUUAACUGUUCAUUAUUAGGUAAAUGGAUAUGGAGGCUUAAGUUAGAGAAAAGAGGUUUAUGGAAGGAUAUUCUUGAUUCUAAAUAUGGGGGUUGGAGAGAUCUAAAGGUGAAUAGCUUUAGAAAUAAGGAUCCGUUGCGGUGGAGAGAUUUGAAAAGGAUUUGGAGGUUAAAGGAAUGGAAACGAAUUUGACGAAAAUGGCACAUGGGAAUUGGGUAUGCGGAAGAAUAUAAGAUUUUGGGACGAUAAGUGGUAGGAGAGAGUUGAGCUAAGGAAGGAAUUUCCAAGAUUGUAUGAUCUAUCUUUAAACAAAGAUAAUACGUUGAUUCAAGUUAGGGAGUGGUAUGAUGAUAGUUGGAGAUGGAAGUUAGGUUGGAGAAGGAACCUAUUUGUUUGAUACUCAAAUCAAGUAUAUCAAUUACUGUCUUUGUUGGUCAAUAAGGAAGUGGUCAAGGAAGAUGCUGAACAUGGAAAAGUUGAUGUUUUGUUUUGGAGGGAGGGGGAAUCUGGGAGGUAUCCAUUUAAGUCAGCUUAUACAAUUUUAUGGUGAGAAAUACACAGUGAAGAUAGUUUAAUCUUUGAAAAAUUUUAGAAGAUAAAGACAAUUCCAUCUGCACAAAUAACUACCUGGAUAGUGUUACAAAAUGCAUUUGAAACAAAAGAUAAUUUGUCUAGACGUGGUGUUGUUUUACUAAAUAAUCUAUGUGUUUUGUGUGCUGUGGCAAAAAAGUCUUUAAAUCAUAUGUUUUUUAAUUGAAAAAUUGCUUGGCUUAUUUGGGGGAUGUGUUAUAAUUGGUUAGGGUGUCGACGAUUGUUCUUGCUGGUUGGCCUUCUCGUUGGUUCACUCUGGUGAGAAGCUCCACCUCCGAUUUGUCUCCUUUAGAAUCUAUUCUACGUCUUCCUAUUUCACUUGAACAGGGGGGGUUCUACCUGUUGAUCACACUCCGACAAUCAAGUCAGUGAGAGCUCACUAAAAUCAGAUAAGUAUUUAGUUUCAGUCUAAUAUUAAAAAAAAACGUACCUCUACCGGGGGUCUCAAGAUCCUUUUAUAACUAUUCUUGUAACAACUUUCUCUAUUGAAAAUCUUAUCUCUGCUGAAAGCAUAAAAUAGUAAUAGAAAAACCACCUUCUAGAAUGACCACAGCUCCACUCCCCUGUUGGUUAGAGGAUCCAUCCACUGAUAGGACCCACUAGAAGUCAUUAGGAUCAGGCUGGGGACCCUCAGAUGACAACUCUACCAUGAAAUCAACAUACACCUGGCCCUUGAUAGGUCCCCUGGGUUCGUACUGGACAUCAAACUCGGACAACUUGACUGCCCAACGGACCAUCCGACCUGCUAUGUCGGGCUUCUGAAAGACCUUGUGAAUGGGCAUAUCAGUCAUCACGAUCAUAGUGAAGUUCUUGAAAUAAUGGCAGAGGCGCCAUGUUGUGAACACUACUGCCAAAGCAGCCUUCUAAAUGGCUUGGUACCGUGUUUCUAGCCCCUACAAUACCUUGCUCACAAAGUAGAUCGACUUCUGGUCCUUAUCUUAUUCUUCCACAAUGACCGAGUUGAUUGUCCGAUCUGUGACCGCAAAAUAAAGGGGAAUGGGAAUACCUGGAAGCGGCUUACAAAGAAUGGGAGGACUGGCCAAGUACUCCUUCAAACAGAUGAAGGCUUCUUCACAUUCACGAGUCCACACAAACCGAUUAUUCUUCUUCAGGCACUGAAAAUAUGGAUACCCCUUAUCUCCACUAGCUGACAAGAAUCGAGACAAGGCAUCCAUGCGUCCAGUUAACUGUUGGACCUCCUUCAUGCUAAAAGGGCUCCUCAUCCCUAUGAUUGCAGCACAUUUAUUAAGGUUCGCCUCUAUACCCCUUCAGUGAGCAAAAACCCAAGGAACUUCCCUACUUCCACCCCAAACACAUACUUCUUUGGGUUCAGUUUCAAGAUGUACUUAGCUAUUGUCGUGAAUAGCUCCUCCAAAUCAGCAAUGUGCUGCUCUUUCUCUUCUGAUGUGACAACCAUGUCGUCUACAUACGCCUGCACAUUUCGUCCAAUCAUUGGGGCAAGAAUCCUGUCCAUCAACCUCUAGUAAGUGGCAUCAACAUUCUUUAGUCCAAAGGGCAUAACUUUAUAACAGUAGCUGGCGAACUUGGCCAUGAAGUCGGUCUUGCUCUCGUCUCUAGGGUGCAUACGGAUUGGUUAUACGCCGAGAAUGCAUUCAAGAAGCUUAACAACUGACAACCCGAGGCAUUUCCCACAAAGGAAUCUACACUUGGAAGUAGGUAAGAAUCCUUGGGACAAGACUUGUUCAGGUUAGUAAAGUCGACGCACAUCCUCCACUUCCCAUUAGCCUUUUGGACCAACACCACAUUUGCCAACCACUCAGGGUAUUGGAUUUCCCUUAUGUGGCCAGCAUUCAGAAGCUUCUGAGUCUCUCCCCUGAUGAUCAGACGCCUUUCUUCAUUGAACUUCCUCCUCCUUUCGACAACCGGCUUGACCCUUUCAUCUAUGGUAAGCCUAUGGCAUAAAAAUUUGGAUUUAUCCCAGGCAUGUCCGCGGAUGACCAAUUGAAAACAUCCAUGUGCUUUGAUAUCACCUCGGCUAUCUUGUCCUACAACUCUUAACAUAUCGAUGUGUCGAGCUUGAACUUCUUCCCUUCUAUUUCCUUUUCAUGAACCUCACUAACAGGUCCAGGUCGCCUCUCACUAGCGACUCCAGCUUCCACAAUCUCUUCUGGAUCUCCCGCCUGAACAAUGAUUGAGUACGUUCCCCUUUUACUUUUCAAGCUAAUCUCGUAUCACUUCCUCGUCUUCUUCUGAUCAGACUUGAUGGUGAUCACUUCUCCAUCAAGAGAAGGCAACUUCAUCUUCAUGUCCCUCGUUGAGGCCACCAUACCCAACCUAUUUAAAAAAGGUCUACCUAAAAGCAAAUUAUAAGCUGAAGAGGCAUUAACUACAAUAUAUUUUACGUUAAUCGUCCGAGCUGAGGUGCCAUUAGAAAAGGUCGUCCUCAGCACGAUGUAUCCCCACACUUCCACUUGAUCUCCCACAAAGCCAAACAAGCAACCAUCGUACAACUUUAGCUAGUCGGGAGAUAACUGCAAACUGUUGAAUGUUGACCAAAACAUCAUAUCUGCAAAGCUCUCUUGGUCAAUGAGAACUCGGUGUACCUUCGUUCCCAGGGUGACAAUAGAUAUCUGUGGAGUAUGGGAGCUUUGAUGUUUCAAAUCCACAUGAAGCCUGAAGCUGUACUGCUUUUAGUUUGGGUUUAAAUUAGGUUGUUUAGAAUCUUUGGAAAAGAUCAGUUCUUAAUCCUUGCACAAAGCUUGACCAAUCUGUUCUAAAGAAACAAAGUGUUUUUCCAAGCAAAGGGAAAACAACCGAUUGAAUUAUCGAUAUAAUCGGUUGUUUGUCACUUAGCUGGCUUAAAGGUUUUCAAAUUGUUUUUUGAAUUGGUUAUGCAACUACCUGACCCAUUCAAUCGGUUAAAUCGUGGUUUCAACCGGUUAAAUGUGUGUUUUCAUAACAGUUUUUUGAAAACCUAUUUUAACUGUUUUGGAUGUAAUCAAAACAGUUUUAGCUAAUUAAAACUGCCUUAAACGGCUAGAUUUCAAGUGCUAUAAAUAUAACCCUUCUUUCAAAGCAAAAAUAAUAAGUUUUGAUACAGAUUUGAUAUCAAAGAGAGAUUAUUUUUUCAAAGUUGCAAGAUUGUUGUUCAAGCUUUGCUCUAGUAACAAGAUCUGAUCAUAGGACUUCCUGUUUUGUGCAAUCUCAAGUGUUUUCUAUCCUUGUCUAGAUUCUUGUAAUUGUACUUUCUUAAAACUGAUGUGUGUUUAAAAUCUUGUAAAGAUAGAGGUUGUUCUAUCUUGAGGUGUGUGGUGUUGCAAAGAGGGUGAGUGGAUCUUGUGGUUUUCAAGGUCACCUCUUUGUGGUGUGUUGGUGUAAUCUGGAUUUGAUUACUAGUGGAACUCAUAGCUUGUUAUGAGAGCUGGAUGUAGCUCAAGGUUGNNNNNNNNNNNNNNNNNNNNNNNNNNNNNNNNNNNNNNNNNNNNNNNNNNNNNNNNNNNNNNNNNNNNNNNNNNNNNNNNNNNNNNNNNNNNNNNNNNNNAUCUUGAGGUGUGUGGUGUUGCAAAGAGGGUGAGUGGAUCUUGUAGGUUUUCAAGGUCACCUCUUUGUGGAGUGUUGGUGUAAUCUGGAAUUGAUUAUUAGUGGAACUCAUAGGUUGUUCUGAGAAUUGGAUGUAGCUUAAGGUUGAGUGAACCAGUAUAAACCCUGCUGUGUAAAUCUCUCUAUCUCUAUCACCUUAUACCUGUUUGAUUUUAUUCUGUUUCUACUGCUAGUAUAAACAACCGAUUAAACCGUGAUUUUAACCAAUUAAAAUUCUGAAAACAAUUUUUGUUUCCUUGAUUAAUUGCUUUCCUUCUUUGCUUAUCUGUGAUUCUUUGAUAAAGAUUCAUUCUUAAUCAAAUCUUGGCGAAAAUAUUUCAUAAACAAUUCACCCCCCUCUUUUUUAAGCCUUCAAUUCUUACAAUUGGCAUCAAGAGCUAGGUUCUUGAAAAAUACUCAAGUUCCUGUUUCUGUUUUUCUGAAAAACUGUUUUACAUGGCUAACAAGUUUUCAUCUUCUUCAAAAACCAAGAUGGAGGUCUGUCUUAUGGCAAAAGAAGAAUAUGGAUCAAACCAAGUAAGUACAUCUUCUUCCAAUAAAUGUGAAAAUUAUUUUCAACUUCUUAAUGCUUUCCGAGAAACACAUGAAGAAGCUAAAAGAUUGACCCUUUCAAAUAACCAAUUGAAAAGUGAAAACAACAGGUUGAAAGAGAAAAUCAAAGUUCUGGAAAAUGAUGUGAACAAUUCAAAUGCUGAUUUAAAAAAUCUAGAACUGAUUUAUCAAAACUCCUCUUGCAAAUGUGAUUCAAGUUUUUGUAAAAAUUGUGAGUCCCUUCAAAAGAAAGUUUUAUAUCUUGUGAAAACUGUUGAUAAAAUUUCAAAAGGGAAAUCAAAUCUUGAAGAUGUUUUUGUUAGAGUUAAACAGUGUCUAAGUUCAAAAGGGGAGGGGUGAAUUGAGCUUAUCAAAUUUUCGCAAAAGAAACUGAUUUACAGUGUAACAGAGGUGAAAAGAACAGAUUGAUUUUAAAUGAAACAGAUUGUUUUUACGAGUGACUGUAGCACAAACAGAACUUGAUCAACAAGGUUUAGAUCAACCAACAGGAAUAGCAGAAACAAAUUGAUUAACUUUCACAACUUAUAAAGUUGCAGUUUGUAUCACAGGAUUAAUCAAUUUUACUUAACACAAAGCAUAUAGAGUAAUGGACAAAUGUCACAGUUCAGUCAAGGAAAACAAUUCACUCUUUUGCCAUAUUACAGAUUCACACAGCAGCUUGAUCUAUGUUUAGAAGAUUGAUUAACCAGCUGGAAUGGCAGAUUUAAUCAGGUCCAGAGUUAACAGAUUUAGAUUCAAAAGAACAGAGUCCUUUCUUGACAGAUUAUGUGAAAACUCAGAAAUAAGUGCAGGGAUGAGAAGAGAAACACAAGAGAAUUUUUAUACUGGUUCACUCAUCAAGAGCUACGUCCAGUUCACCUUACUCCAAGGUGGAAUCCACUAAAAACAGAUACAAUCAAUUACAGCAUACACAGCAGUUCUUGAACCCUUCAAGAACUUCAACAACCAAGGCUGAAAAACACUAUUUCAGCAUGCCUUGCACUCCAAGAAACCCUAUCAAAGAGUGACUAACACUUAUACCUAUUACAAGAACGAAUAAGGGAAAGAUUACACCUGAAAUUGUGUUGCAAGAAGAUAAACCAAUUGUUCUAUUUGCUCCAAGACAGCACCAACACCUUCAUCCAGCACAAGGUUCUUUAAGAACAAGCUCACAUCUAUUUUCUAUUGAAAAACCUUUACAAAACCUUUCCAAUUCUCUUUCUCACACAAGAAAUGUUUUAUCUCUAUUAAAACUGUGAUUACUCAACGUAUUUUCAUGUGAGAAAAGCAUUUUAUUUUAUAGAGAACAGUUCUUAACCACUUUUCAAAAAACAGUUUCAGAGCAGUUAUAAGAAUAAUAGAUUGAUUCUAAAAACAACAGGUUAAAUGUUAACAAAACUGUCAGCUCAACUUAACUGAAAUAACAGACUGAGCUUUACCUUUGGUGCCCUAACAGAAUUUCGUAAAGCCUUUUAACAGAGCAAAAAUAAACCUAUUGUUUCUCAAGAAAACAAAUUUAUUUUUGUACUAAAUCAAACCUUUUAAGCAAACUUUAAAAAACUUUUCCAAAACCAUUUAACCUCAUUAUGUGCUUGAUCUUACUACCUUGAUUUGGCAUCUAGGAUGGGUCUUGCAGCAAAAGGCAACCUUGAAUGCACACAAACCUAAAGUACAAGAUCAUCUAAGACACAUUGCAACCUUCAAAGCAUACCAGCUAGAGACUACACCAAACACACUAAUGCAAGGUAGAGAUGAGCUUCAUCCAUCUUCAACAAUCUCCCCCUGUUUGAUGGAGACAAAAACCCCUUUGCUUUGCAUACUUGAUGAUCAAAACCUGCAUAGUACUAGCUUCCAAACAACUGCACAACACCAUUUAGAAAUAAAACCAGAAUAUGGCAGUAUAUGAGUUUUGUGCUACCUCCCUACAGCUUGAACCAAAUCAUCACGUUAUGUGAGCAAUCUUUCAUCUGUCCUUCUCCCCCUUUGGGUUCAUCAAACAGAGUAGAACAUGGAAUAAAAGAAGCACACCAUAGACAUGCAUAACAGUUCAAACGAAAACCAGUUUAUAGGUCCAUUACAAACCAAAACAUAAUGAAACCAGUGCAGAAAAGAAAAAAAAAACAAAAAACCCAAUUGUUCAACAAGACAUAAAGGAUAAAAACUUUGAAAAAAUCACUUGUUAUAGUGAUAGAGCUCAGCUAGCUGCUCCUGAACUCCUUCAAUUUGGUCAUCCAAGUGUUGAAACCUGGCUUGAGUCAUUUCAUAGUAUUCCUUUUGGUCGUAUGUGAGUGUAUCCAGCCUGCUUAGAACUUGCCUUUCGAACAUGGAUAGAGGUUCACCUCUAUACACAAGUUCCUGAUAUGCAACCAAUGCAUUAUGGCUUGUAGCAACAACAUCCUCAUUUACAAAAGAGUGAACUGGUGACUCAUCAAUGUGCUGCACACCAUCAACAUUUUCUUCUUCUUCAUCUCCUGGAUUAGCUGCUUCAUUCUCAGCUCCAUUUGCAGCAUUCCUUCUAAAAAUUCAGUUGUCUUCCUCCUUUUGGAACCCCAUUUUCAAGAGAGUGGAGUUGUCUAUUUCACUUGCUGCCCUAAUAGUGUCAUUUCUUUCAUUUGCAGUAUCCACUUCAAAAUAGUCAAUUAGUUUGGAUACAAAAAUUGCAUAUGGAAAGCGAUAAUCGGGAAGCCUUGUGGAUUUGAGCAUAUGCUCUACCAUUGUACUUACCCAAUUUACCUUGAGCUGAUUCAUUAUACAGUAUAGNNNNNNNNNNNNNNNNNNNNNNNNNNNNNNNNNNNNNNNNNNNNNNNNNNNNNNNNNNNNNNNNNNNNNNNNNNNNNNNNNNNNNNNNNNNNNNNNNNNNAUGAAGAGUAGCAUGAUUGCUUCCUCUAGGAGUAAGUUGCCAAGCAAUUAUGUAAGCUAGGAGUCUUGGAUUUAAGGUCAGAUUACCAGCAUGAAAUCUAGCUACUGGUUCAGUAGGAUUUCUAACACAACUCCUGUAAAACUGCAUCUUAUUGAACCCUUGAAUUCCAGCAGUAUUCCCUUUGCUCACUUUCAUUCCUGAAUACUUGAUUCCUCCCACAUUGCUCCAUAUUUCCCUAGUAAUUUUCAGCUUCACUCCUUUCACAUGGGAAACAAGGUUCUUGCCAUCUUGAAUGAGGUUGCUGUAGAACACCUUCACUAGGUCUGGAUAGACAUUUCCAGUCAUUUCUAAGAAGCUUUUCAAUUUUUGAUGCUUGAGCAGAGUUUUUGCUUCAGUCAGAUUUUCUUCCCUCUACCAUGAGAAUUCCAGCACCUUGGGCACAUUGACUUGUUUUUUGUUUGUCUCAUGUAUGAACCUUGUCAUAGCUUCAGAAUCUCCAGCAAACCAAUUUUCCAGAAUGCCUUGGUUACUGUUAGGUUGCUCUUUGAGCUUCUUCUUUCUGUGUGAUGAGGAUGCCAUGCUUGAUCUGUUGUUACCUGCACCUAUUCACCAAAAGACAACCCCAGCUAUAAAGAGGAUCAGUAACAGUUCACAUGAUCAUUUGAAGACAAAAAUUAAAACAGUAAAUUGUUUGAACCUGGACAGCUUGUAGUAGGAAUGAGAAGGUGUGAAAAACAAUUGAUUAAUACCAGAUUUAUAUAGGGCUUAAAUCAGAUUUCAAGAAUCACAAGUUUUAAAAGAAAUCAAUUCAAUCAAAUAUAAUACAGAUAUUAUUCUUGUGUGGUACAGCAGGUGCAGGUGUUGAUUGACGCAAGAAUAUAUUGAAACCAGAUUUCAGUUUAGCAAAUCAAAUCUGUUGCACCUACAAGAUAUCAAAUCAGUUAGAAUAUCCCCACAUGACUGUCAUAAACCUGCUGGUUAAUAACCGUAAAAGCAGUCAAAGAUCAAGGAGAGAGAGAGAGAGAAAAGUAAAUAUUUCUCUUUCCUAGUCACGGUUGUGAUUCUGAAACAGAGAGAGAACAUGUUAAAGUAUAAAAUAACAUAUUGGAAUUUUUACUACAGGGGACAAUUUAAGCUAAUGAUACCCAAUUCAUUUAGAAGAAAAUAAAACCUAUCUUUAGCAUGAGGUUUAGUAAAAAGAUCAGCCAAUUGAAAUUCAGUGCCAAUGAAUUUGAUAUCACAAGUUCCAUUAGCUAUAUGCUCUCUUAGAAAGUGAUGUCUAAUUUCAAUAUGUUUAGUUCUUGAAUGCAUGACAGGAUUCUUAGACAGAUUUAUAGCACUGGUGUUAUCACAAUUUAUAGGUAUCUUGUUUAAGAGAAUCCCAAAGUCACUUAGCUGCUGCCUUAGCCAUAAGGUUUAAGCACAACAACUUCCAGCAGCUAUGUAUUCUGCCUCUGCUGUAGAGAGAGCAACACAAGCUUAUUUCUUGCAAUGCCAAGAGAUUAGACUUGAUCCAAGGAUGUGACAAGUCCCACUUGUGCUUUUCCUAUCAACCUUGCAACCUGCAAAGUUUGCAAGUAUUUCAGAAUUCUCUAUGCAGCAUUGUAGUGUGAUUCCUUUGGAUCAGAUUGAUAUCUAGCACAUAAACAUACAACAAACAUAAUGUCAGGCCUGCUAGCAGUUAAGUAUAAUAAGGAACCAAUUAAACCCCUGUAUUUUGAUUGAUCCACUGAUUUUCCUGCACAAUCUUGAUCCAGCUGACAGCUUGUUGAAAUAGGAGUGUUGAUUGCUUUGCAUUGAUCCAUAUCAAACUUCUUAAGCAACUCCUUGCAGUACUUUGCUUGAUUUAUGAAGAUUCCAUCCUUGAGUUGUUUUACUUGUAGUCCAAGGAAGAAAUUCAUCUCUCCUAACAUUGACAUCUUAAAUUCACUCUUCAUUGCAGCAACAAAAGCUUCACAUAUUUCUUCAUUUAUGGAUCCAAAGAUGAUAUCAUCCACAUAAACUUGCACAAGUAUAAUGUCUUCUCUUUUCUUCUUUAUGAACAGAGUUUUGUCAGAAUUACCACGAUUGUAUCCUUGAGAGAGCAGAAAUUCACUUAGCCUCUCAUACCAUUGUCUAGGUGCCUGUUUUAAUCCAUAUAAAGCCUUCUUGAGCUUGUACACAUGUUCUGGAUUUUUGUAGUCUUCAAACCCUGGAGGCUGAGAUACAAACACCUCUUCAUUAAUGUAACCAUUCAAGAAUGCACUCUUAACAUCCAUUUGAAACAACUUGAAUCCUUGUAUGCUGGAAAAUGCUAAGAGUAAUCUGACAGCUUCAAGACAUGCUACUGGUGCAUAGGUUUCACCAAAAUCUAUUCCUUCUUCUUGGUUAUAGCCUUUAGCAACCAGCCUUGCUUUAUUUCUAGUGAUAGCCCCAUGUUCAUCCAUCUUGUUCCUGUACACCCAUUUGGUUCCUAUGAUAUUCAUCUCAUGUCUUCUUGGAACCAAGGUCCACACUUCAUUGUAUUCAAAUUGGUUCAGUUCUUCCUGCAUUGUUGUUAUCCAAUUGUUGUCUUGUAGUGCUUCUUCCAGACUUUUAGGCUCAAUCUGUGAAACAAAGGCCACUGUUCUGCAGAAAUUAUUAAGUGAAUUCCUUGUUGAGACUCCUUUCUCAAUUUUACCAAUUACAUUGUCAAGUGUGAGAUCCCUUUGAGUCUUCCAUUCUUUAGGCAGUCCUACAUUCAUAGUAGAUUCUUUGACAGUAUUUGGAUUAGUUGCAAACUCACUAGAUUUAUUCUUUUGCAAAAUGGUUCUUAAAUCAUCCACAUCAGGUUCAUCCAGAACAAGUUUAGGCCAGUACAAUCUGUUUCAUCAAAUACAACAUGUAUAGAUUCUUUUAUUGCAAGCAAUCUUUUGUUAUACACUCUAUAGGCAUGUCCAUUUAUAGCAUAACCAAUAUCUAUUCCUUCAUCUGAUUUAGGAUCAAAUUUCCCCAGAUUGUCUUUACCAUUAUUUAGAACAAAGCAUUUGCAGCCAAAAACCCUAAGGUGACUAAUGCUAGGCUUCCUACCUUUAUACAAUUCAUAGGGAGUUUUCUUAAGAAUGGGUCUAAUCAAGGUUCUGUUAAGCACAUAAGAGGCAGUGUAUACUGCAUCUGCCCAAAAAUAUUUAGGUAAACUAGAUUCAUUUAACAUGGUCCUAGCUAACUCCUCUAAUGACCUAUUCUUCCUUUCAACUACACCAUUUUGUUGGGGUGUCCUAGGGGCAGAAUAGCUAUGUGUGAUCCUAUGUUUUUCACAAUACCUAUCAAAUUUUGCAUUUUGAAAUUCUCCCCCAUGAUCACUACGAAUCUGUUUUAUUCUAUUUUCAUUUUCAUUAUGCAGAACCUUAGCUAGUUUCUUAAAGGCUUUAUAUGCCUCAUUUUUAGAAGCAAGAAACAAAGUCCAUGUAUAUCUUGAGAAGUCAUCAACAAUCACCAAAGCAUAGUAAUUUCCAGCUAAGCUAGCAAUCCUAGAUGGUCCAAACAAGUCCAUAUGUAAAACAUCCAAAGCUUUAUUUGUAGAAACCACAUCUUUAGAUUUAAAUGAAGUUCUUAUCUGUUUGCCCUUUACACAAGCAUCACACAAUCUGUUAUUUUGAAACUUUAUAUUUGGUAAACCAGAAACAAGAUCUUUAGACUUCAACUUAUUCAAGUGAUUAGUAUGAAUAUGAGCUAAUCUCCUCUGCCACAACCAAGAUUCAUCACUUUUUGAUAACAAGCAUUCAUUUUCAGAGUUCUUAUUCAUGAUAUCUAAGAGAUAGAUGUUAUUUACCCUUCUACCUGUGAACAACACCUUACCAGAAGAUUCACUUGAGAUUGUACAUGUGUUGGUUUCAAAAUUGACCUUGUAGCCCUUGUCACACAGUUGACUAAUGCUUAAGAGACUAUGCUUUAAUCCCUCCACAUAUAGGACAUUCUCAAUUGUGGUUGAUUCUGCAGUACCAACAUCUCCUCUUCCAAGAAUUCUUCCUCUAUUAUUAUCACCAUAUGUGAUAUGUCCUUCAGCUUUCAGUGUUAGACUUGUGAAUUGAGCAACAUCACCAGUCAUGUGCUUUGAACAACCACUAUCCAAGUACCACUGAUUUUUCCUGUUGUUUCUCUGCAAAACAAAACAGAUUUAACAUAUAUGGUACCCCUUUCUAGUCUAGGGUCCAACACGAUUAAUACCUUUCCUUAGGAAGCCAUUUGGCCAAUCCUUUGGGAACAAGGUACCUUCUAGCUUUACAUGUUGUAGAUAUAUGUCCAUUCUUCAUACAGUAAAAGCAAGAUGUAGUAUGCAUGGUAUUUAAGCUGUUAAAAGAAGAAAAACCUGUUUUGGAAGGAACAAAAAAACUGGACAACUUUUUCACAUUGCUUUUCAUUCCAGGAUUAUAUCCUAGACCAUUUUUAUUAAAAACAGCAUUCUGUGAACCCAAUUAAAGUUUCCAGAUUUUCCUCUUCCUUUGGUGAAAUUUGAUAGUGGUUUUUAACAAAUAAUCAACCCUGUUUUUUCCAGCUUCCUUGCAAAUUAUCACAGGGUUUUUAUUGAUNNNNNNNNNNNNNNNNNNNNNNNNNNNNNNNNNNNNNNNNNNNNNNNNNNNNNNNNNNNNNNNNNNNNNNNNNNNNNNNNNNNNNNNNNNNNNNNNNNNNNNNNNNNNNNNNNNNNNNNNNNNNNNNNNNNNNNNNNNNNNNNNNNNNNNNNNNNNNNNNNNNNNNNNNNNNNNNNNNNNNNNNNNNNNNNNNNNNNNNNNNNNNNNNNNNNNNNNNNNNNNNNNNNNNNNNNNNNNNNNNNNNNNNNNNNNNNNNNNNNNNNNNNNNNNNNNNNNNNNNNNNNNNNNNNNNNNNNNNNNNNNNNNNNNNNNNNNNNNNNNNNNNNNNNNCCUUUGCUUCUUUCACUCUUCUUGCUUGCUGAUUUUUCUUGUUUUGAUUGUUUGGACAAUCAACCUUUAUAUGACCUGGUUUACCACAUCCAAAGCAAGUGUAAUUAGAAGAAUUUGAAUCAUUGGAUUUAGAAUACCUCUUUCUUUGCUGAGUUCUGUCACGGUUUUUCUUUCUAAGAAAUCUGCUGAAUUUUCUGGUGAGCAGACUCAAUGUCUCAUCAUGUUCAGGAUUUUUUUCUUCCUCACUUGUAUCAUGUUCCAUGGUAGUUUUAAGGCAAUUCCUUUGGCUCUAUUCUCCACAGUUUCUUGUUCUUUCAAUCUUUUCAGCUCUAGUUCAUGCUCCAUCAGCUUUCCAAAGAGUGCAGCAGUGGACAUCUUGGAUAAAUCUCUGGAUUCUGAGAUUGUUGUUACCUUAGGCUGCCAGCUUCUAUCAAGGCAUUUCAGCACCUUUAUGUUGAGCUCUUCCAUGUCAAAGACUUUACCAAGGCCAGUGAGGUGAUUUACAAUAUGUGUAAAUCGUUUCUGCACAUCUGCAAUACUCUCUUCUGAUUGCAUUCUGAAUAGUUCGUAUUCNNNNNNNNNNNNNNNNNNNNNNNNNNNNNNNNNNNNNNNNNNNNNNNNNNNNNNNNNNNNNNNNNNNNNNNNNNNNNNNNNNNNNNNNNNNNNNNNNNNNACCUCCCACAUCUCCUUAGUUGAGUUACAUUGAGAAACUCUAAAGAAUUCAUCCAUAUUCAGUGCAGAUGUGAUGAUGUUCUUGCCUAGAGAGUCAUAUUGAGCCUUCUUCCUUUCACUUUCACUCCAUUCAGACCAAGGCUUCUUUACUGUUUCUUCUUUGGCAACCUGCAUAGGUAUAAAAGGUCCACUGACCACUGCAUCCCAAAUACCCAUAUCAAUAGACUCCAUAAAAAUUUUCAUUCUAAUUUUCCAGAAGGCAUAGUUAACACCACCAAACAUAGGAGGUCUAUUAAUAGGCGCACCUUCAACAAAAGGCAUUUUAAACUCAGACAUCAUGUAUACACUUGAGCAAAAUACAAGCCCUAGCUCUUGAUACCAAUUGUUAGAGUUAAACAGUGUCUAAGUUCAAGAGGGGAGGGGUGAAUUGAGCUUAUCAAAUUUUCGCAAAAGAAACUGAUUUACAGUGUAACAGAGGUGAAAAGAACAGAUUGAUUUUAAAUGAAACAGAUUGUUUUUACGAGUGACUGUAGCACAAACAGAACUUGAUCAACAAGGUUUAGAUCAACCAACAGGAAUAGCAGAAACAAAUUGAUUAACUUUCACAACUUAUAAAGUUGCAGUUUGUAUCACAGGAUUAAUCAAUUUUACUUAACACAAAGCAUAUAGAGUAAUGGACAAAUGUCACAGUUCAGUCAAGGAAAACAAUUCACUCUUUUGCCAUAUUACAGAUUCACACAGCAGCUUGAUCUAUGUUUAGAAGAUUGAUUAACCAGCUGGAAUGGCAGAUUUAAUCAGGUCCAGAGUUAACAGAUUUAGAUUCAAAAGAACAAAUUCCUUUCUUGACAGAUUAUGUGAAAACUCAGAAAUAAGUGCAGGGAUGAGAAGAGAAACACAAGAGAAUUUUUAUACUGGUUCACUCAUCAAGAGCUACGUCCAGUUCACCUUACUCCAAGGUGGAAUCCACUAAAACAGAUACAAUCAAUUACAGCAUACACAGCAGUUCUUGAACCCUUCAAGAACUUCAACAACCAAGGCUAAAAAACACUAUUUCAGCAUGCCUUGCACUCCAAGAAACCCUAUAAAAGAGUGACUAACACUUAUACAUAUUACAAGAAAGAAUAAGGGAAAGAUUACACCUGAAAUUGUGGUGCAAGAACAUAAACCAGUUGUUCUAUUUGCUCCAAGACAGUACCAACACCUUCAUCCAGCACAAGGUUCUUUAAGAACAAGCACACAUCUAUUUUCUAUUGAAAAACCUUUGCAAAACCUUUCCAAUUCUCUUUCUCACACAAGAAAUGUUUUAUCUCUGUUAAAACUGUGAUUACUCAAGGUAUUUUCAUGUGAGAAAAGCAUUUUAUUUUAUAGAGAACAGUUCUUAACCACUUUAGAGCAGUUAUAAGAACAACAGAUUGAUUCUAAAAACAACAGGUUAAAUGUUAACAAAACUGCCAGCUCAACUUAACUGAAAUAACAGACUGAGCUUUACCUUUGGUGCCCUAACAGAAUUUCGAAAAGCCUUUUAGCAUAGCAAAAAUAAACCUAUUGUUUCUCAAGAAAACAAAUUUAUUUUUGUACUGAAUCAAACCUUUUAAGAAAACUUUAAAAAACUUUUCCAAAAUCAUUUAACCUCAUUAUGUGCUUGAUCUUACUACCUUGAUUUGGAAUCUAGGAUGGGUCAUGCAACAAAAGGCAACCUUGAAUGCACACAAACCUAAAGUACAAGAUCAUCUAAGACACAUUGCAACCUUCAAAGCAAACUAGCUAGAGACUACAUCAAACACACUAAUGCAAGGUAGAGAUGAGCUUCAUCCAUCUUCAACAGUUUUAGCAUCUCAAAAAUGUGUUUUUGGGAAAUAUGGUUUGGGCUUUAACGCACAAAGCAAACAAAGUGGAUGUUCAAAACCUUUUUCAACCAUCACGAAAAAUCAAUCGGUUAAAAAGUCUAAACAACUGAUUGUUUGUUGUUUCUACUGUAUGAAAAAGGGCCACUCUGUUAGAUUUGGUAAAAUUUGGAAGUUUUUUGUUCCCAAAGGUAUCCUAAAAUGGGUUCCUAAGGUUCCUUGGAAGAAUAUUAACACUCAUGGACCCAAAUUUGUAAGGGGACCAGAUCUUGCCACCUGAUUUUAAAUCUUGUAAGGUUGCAUGGAGAGAAAACAACAUUUGUGGUAUCUAGAUAGUGGCUGCUCCAAGCAUAUGACUGGAGAUGAAUCCAAAUUGCUCAGCAUAACUCUCAAACAAGAUGGGCGUGUAACCUAUGGUGACAACAACAAGGGGAAAAUCCUUGGUAAAGGUACCAUAGGCAAUGAAAAUAGCUUGCUUAUUCAUGAUGCGCUUUAUGUAGAAGGUCUUAAGCAUGGGCUGCUCAGUAUCAGCCAGCUUUAUGACAGAGGUUAUCAAGUCACCUUUAGAACAAAUUCUUGUGAGAUUCGGUUGCCAAAUUCAAAAGAUGUUCUUCUCAUUGGUAAGAGAUCUAAUAACAUCUAUUUGCUUGAUAUAUCCAGCUCCACAUCAAUAGGUUGUCUUCUAACAAAACAUGAGGAAUCAUGGCUUUGGCAUAGAAGAAAUGCACACAUUCAUAUGCAUCAUUUGAAUAAACUUGUUUCAAAUGAACUUGUUAUUGGCUUACCCAAACUCAAGUUCCAGAAGGAACAUGUGUGUGAGGCUUGUCAAAAGGGGAAAAAAACUAGAAAAUCUUUCAAAGUGAAAAAUUGUGUUUCAACUUCAAAACCUCUUGAGCUCUUGCACAUGGAUCUUUUUGGUCUUUCUAGGAUUAUGAGCCUUGGAGGAAAUCUAUAUGCUCUUGUGGUUGUAGAUGACUUUUCCAGGUUUACUUGGACUCUUUUCCUACACUCAAAGAAGGAAGCAUAUCCAGAAUUCAAAAAGCUAGCAAAAAGGUUGCAGAACACAUGUUGCAGCAACAUUGGAGCAAUCAAAAGUGAUCAUGGUGGAGAAUUUCAAAACGAGAAAUUCAUCAGCUUUUGCAACAAGCUAGGAAUCUUCAACAACUUCUCUGCACCAAGAACACCCCCAACAAAAUGGAGUGCUGGAGAGGAAGAAUAGAUCUCUAGAAGAGCUUGCAAAGACUAUUCUAAAUGAAUUUUCCCUACCUAAGUGCUUUUGGGCUGAUGCGGUAAGUACAAUUUGCUAUGUGAUGAACCGUGUGCUAAUCAGGCCUAUCUUAAAGAAAACCCCAUAUGAACUUUUGAAUGGAAGGAAGCCAAACAUAGGUCACCUAAAGAUCUUUGGAUGUAAGUGCUACAUUCUAAAAAAUGGCAAAGAAAGUAUGGGUAAGUUUGAUGCAAAAUCUGACAGAAGUAUCUUUCUUGGAUACUCUCUAUCUAGCCAUGCAUAUAGGGUUUAUAAUAAAAAGCUUAUGACUGUUGAAGAAUCCAUACAUGUUUUCUUUUAUGAAACUAACAAAUCUGAGCAAGGUUUAGCAACGAUCAACACAGAAGAAGAUGAACAAAACAUCUUUUUGGAGAAUCUUGACAACAACACAAAAAUUCAACCAGUUGAUUCUGAGAAACAACCGGUUGAAUAUCUGUAGCAGGAUGAUCUGCCAAAGGAAUGGAGGAUCCCAAGAGACCUAUCUGUUGAUAACAUCAUUGGCCAGAUUAACAAAGGUGUAUCCACAAGAAGGAGUAUGGCAAACUUCUGCAACCAUACAACUUUUGUCUCCAAGAUUGAACCAAAAUCAUUCUGUGAUGCACUCAAGGAUGAACACUGGACAACAGCUAUGCAUGAGAAACUUAACCAGUUUGUGAGAAAUGAUGUGUGGUCCCUUAUCCCUAAAACAGCCGAAAUGAAUGUUAUAGGUACAAAAUGGGUUUUCAGGAACAAGUCGGAUGACUCAGGCGUCAUCACAAGGAACAAAGCCAGGCUUUUUGCUAACGGGUACAACCAAGCAGAAGGAAUUGACUAUGAUGAGACCUUCGCACUGGUAGAAAGGUUAGAAGCUGUUAGACUUUUAUUAGCUUUUGCUUGCAUGAGUGGUUUCAAAUUAUUUCAGAUGGACGUGAAAAGUGUUUUUCUCAAUGGAAUUGUGAAUGAAGAAAUCUAUGUAUCAUAACUGAUGAAAACGGUUGCUGCUCUCUUCAAGACAAUAUGUUUGAUGAAGACAAAUGUGUAUUUUGCUUUGUUGUUUAAGUUUGUUUUUAGGGAUUGUCUUAGGGUUAGAUUAGAGGUUGUUUAAAGUGAGCUUUUUGCAUCAUGACCCAUCUCUUAACCCUUAACCAUGUGGUAAGAGCAAGCACAAUGUUUUCUAAAAAUGUUUUCACAGGUUUUGCCAAAAUACUCUUUACUGCACAGAAAUUGAAUAUGUUCUUUCUUAAAUGAAUAGAUUCUUUAUUAAAUUGAUGUCUUGGUAAAAAUUUUAAUAACCUCGUUUUAUGCAUCAAGUAUCUUGACUCAGUAUUCAUGCUAUCCAAAACGACUGUGUUUCAUCUGUUCAAAAAUCCAUGUUAUCUUUUUGAAAAUGAAUCUGGUGCAUGGUUCUUAAAAGGUUUUCACUUCUUUAUCUUUGCACCAAGAAGCUUGACUAAGUCUCAUAUAAAUAAUACUACAACCUUUCACAAUCUCUCAUUGCUUUCGAAAAUAAAUCUAUUCAUUUUAUUUUCAAUUUGUUCUUUUUAUAACUGCUUUAACUGUUUUUUAAAAAGUCUGUUAUAAAAUGUUUCUUAUAAAAGGAGAGUUGGUUCUGACUUGAGAGUGGUGUUGAGAAAACAAGUUUUAAAAUAGAGAUUGAGUAGUUUUCAUUGAAUAAGUACGUGUUCUUGAAAGAUUUUCAAAAACAGAAAUUGUGCUUGUUCUUGCUUGGUUCUAAGGCUUGGUUGGAGGUGUUGCCACUAUGUGUGCAAUCUGUUUUACUGGUCUAAGUCAGAUUUCUGCAUUCUUUUUCCAGGUUUAUUCAUUUCAUCUUUCAAUUACUUGUAAAGUGUGGUUGUAAGACUCUUCUUGAUAGGGUUUCUUGAAGAGUUGUGUGUGCUGGAAUGGUGUUUUUCAGCAAGGUGUUACAUGUUCUUGUAGGGUUCAAGAGUUGUGGUUGUGUAAUUGUUUUGAAUUGUAAUUUAGUGAAUUUCACCUUGGAUUAGGUGAGACUGGAUGUAGCUCAAUUGAGUGAACCAGUAUAAUCUCGUUGUGUUCAAAUCUCUCUUAAUCUCUACACUCAUUUACUGUUUCGUUUCCUGAUCUGUCAGAAAAUAAACUUGUUCAAUUAAAAUUGAAUAUGUUCAUUCUGGGUUUGUUCAUACUGUUCUUGAUUUCUGGAAAAUCAAUUUGAAACUUCUGUGAAAAACUGUAUGAGUUGUUGAACAUAAUUGGAGUUCAUUGUUCAGUGAAAGUUAACUCAAUUAAUUGUCAAGUUUCAAUCAAAAGGUUGAUUGUGUAUUCAAAGAUUGUAUUUUACAGAUUCUGCUGUCUCAUUUUAUUCCAUAGAAAUUAAUGUGAACAUUGCUAGCUGAUCAAGUUGCUUAAUAACAGAGAAUCACAUAACUGAUAUAACUGUCUUAAUACACUAAGUAGAAUAAAAAUAAACUUGUUCAUUGCAAAAUAAAUAGAUUGUUUUCCUCUGUUUUGCAAAUAGACCAAAUUUUUGCGAAAGUUUUAAAAACUCAAUUCACCCCCGCUCUUGAAUUUUGACACUAUUGAACCCAACAACAACCACCUGGAUUUGAAGAUCACAAGCAUCCUGAUCAUGUAUACAAGCUAAAGAAAGCCUUGUAUGGCCUUAAGCAAGCACCACGACAAUGGUAUGAAAGUGAUGGAUUUGUGUCUUCUUCUUUGCGGUUUUGAAGGUGAUUUGCGGAAGCUAUACGGAUUGGAGAUGGAACAAGGUCCUCCUAAGAGUGGUGGUGACCUUGAAGGUGCAUGAUAGGUAGGAUUUGAGAGUGGUGAGGCCAACUCUACUUGGAAAGGGCGAAUUUGUGAAGAUUAAAAGCCUAACCUAGGAGGUUUUGGGCAAAGAGUGAUAUUGGCACAAUUUUGGCAGCAAUUCACUCAUGUAUUAAUCUUAAAUUUACAUGACCCAAACUCCUAUAUAUAUAGCAAGAGUGGGCAGAAAAUGAAAAGAGAAUUGGAUGGAAAUUCAAAUGUUGGCACAUGGGAAGGUGGCUCCUAAAUUCAACACAUGUGAGGUAGGUUCUAGAAUUCUUCCAUGUGCUAGGAGUUCUAGAACCUUUCGCUCCACUUAGGCUAAAUGUGGGCUGGACCUAAGUUUAAUUAGGAGUAGGAAACUUCUAAUUAAACUUAGGUUAACAUUUUAGAUACCACUUUGCAUGUUUCAACAAAAAUACAAAAGAAUUAAACUAUGCUACUUUUGACAAAAAAUGUAAAAAUUAUUCUACACUAGAGUUUAUGACAUGUAGAAUGCGUCCUCUUGACCCCUCUUUGACCAUAACUCUAGUGGUUGCCUCAAUUUGACAUUUUGGUGGCCUUUUAAUGGAUUGGUGUCGGGGCCUCAUCCAUCAUCCCCUCCCUCUUGAAAAGGAUUUGUGGCUGUAUGUGGCUGUAUGUGGCUGGAUGGUGUCUAUCAUCUCCUCCUUCUUGAGAAAAUCUAUCCUCAGAUCCACAGCGUCGAUCUCGGAUAGCAGCCUCUUGUUUUGACAAUUAUGCUCGUCCUCCCAGAUCAAACGCCAAUCUACAGUAAACAUCAAACAAACAUGAGAUAAAUUUCUUUUUUAAAAGGAAAUUAAAACAAGAGAAAAUUAAACAAAAAUAAGGCCUUUUAUCUUUAAAAUUCUUUUGAAAGAUUGACAUAAGACCCCUUUCAAAACUAUGUUUGUUCACUUUGUGUUGUCUAUUGCCCAAGUUAGGCAACAACAUCACAAAGUUUGGUUUUUGAGAUUUUUUUAAAGAAGAGUAAGCAUUAUAUAAUUGAGAAGAAGAGUUCAAAGUACUGUAAUCCCCCUUUAAUGAUUCUUUUUCAGCUAUGCUUUCAAGGGGUGUCAUAAAAGAAUCUUCUUCUUUGUUAGUUUCCUCUUCUUCCUUUUUAGUCAAACAUUCUUCGGUAUUUUAUAUGGAGGAAACAUUUAUAUUUAUAUCUGGCUUAGCUCCAAACAUAGAUUUCUCUACAAGCACAUCCUCACAAGGGUUUUCUAGAGAAAAUAAAAUGUUAUCGAUAUCUUAUUCAACUUCAAAAAAAGAAGUUUUUGUAGUGUCCUUUUUUAUCAUCACUUUUUCUCUUUUCUUCUCUAGCUUUCCUUUCGUCUUUCUCUCUUUGUCUUUUAUCCUUCUCUUCUUUCUUACAAGAGCUUGAAAUUUUUCUUUAAACUUUUUUUCUCUUCUAAGAUAUUCUUUUUCUCCAUUUAUAAAGUUUCUUCCUUUUUCCAUAAGCUCUUUCAUUUCUUCUCUAACAUUCUUCCUUUUCACAUAUGGAAGUGGAACAAACUUUCUUCUCAUACAUGUCUUCAGUUCAACCCAAUUCAGUAUUUCUGAUUUUCUGCCAAUUCUAACAUUAGUUUCCCUUUGUGUCCACCAAGACCUAGCAUCUUCUUGAAAACUGAGGGUGGCUAAGGGUACUUUUCUUUUCUCAAUCACAAGGUGGCAGAAAAAAAAUUGUUCUACCUUCAUUUCCCACUCUAAAUAGACUUCUAUGUUUUCUUUUCCAUGAAAAUGAGGUAGAUCUACCAUAACCUCUUUUGGGCUCUCUUGUUCUUUUCUUUCUCUUCUAGUCCUCCUAGGGGGUGGUUGAUAAUAUUCAUUUAUCCUAAGACUUUCUUCCCCAAAAGAUUCAUGAUUGUGAGAACUAGAUGCAUGUGAAUGUAUUUUGUUAGAUUUUUGAGAGCUUUCAUCCUUUUCUUCAGCUAUUUUCAACUCUUUGAUUUGUACCUCAUGUUCCAAUUGUCUAUAUGAGAAUGAUUGAAAGUCCUUGGCUAAUUGUUUUAAAAGAGUUUUAAUGGACUUUAUAUCACUUUCACUAGAUUUAGAAUAGUGAGUUGACAUGACUAAAGCGUUGUGUUUAAAAGUAUUUUACCUCAAGAAAGAAAAGGAAAGUAAUGAAGGUAGCUUUCCAGGAAAGAGAGGUGGAUCACUAGGAUCUCUUAAGUACCAAGUCUUUCCUUGCCAAAACCUAUCCCUCAAGACUUCACACAAUUCUUUUUCUAAGUAAUUUACUUAGAUCACAAUUAGGAAUAAAAAGUCAAUUUUUAUUCAAAGGAAAACAAUGCAAAACAAUUAAACAAUGCAAAUCAAGUUUGACAAUACAAAACAAGGAAUUAAAGUAAAGCAAUUAACUAAACACAAAUUAAAGAUUGCUAACUACAAAGCUUUAAACUAGACGAUUCCUAAGGUGAGGCUUCUAGACACUUGGAGCCAUUGAAGACACUCUCACCGUCUACAGGCAAUUAAUCUACUAAUUAAUCAAGGUUGAAUGUAAAUUACAACUCAAAGAAAUACAAAGAAAUUGAAUUACACAAAAUAAAAUUCAGAUUUCCUAAACUAUGCACUCCUUGGUUUGUGCACUACAAGAAAAAGUGCUUUUAGAAACUAAAUUUUUGGUUUCUAAAAUGAUAAAUUUGAAAAAAAGUUUGAGAUAGUUACAAGUAGUCUUAAUUUAAACUUACAUGUUCGUAGACAUCCUUUUCACCUCCACUUGCAUCAACAUAACUAUGACAACUGAAUAAGGAAGUGAUAACAUAUAUGAGAAGAACUUGAAGAAAAUAGUACAAGUCAGAAUAUACUCAAGUGUUGCAAUGCAAGCAUAACAGAAUCACAUGGAUAGAACAGAAGCAUCACAACACAAGACAAUCAAGUGAAAAUAAUAAUAAUAUCAACAAGAAGUUAACAACAGUAUAUAAUUCAUGCUUAUAAUUUAAAAUCCCUAAAAUUUUCACAUCACAACUGCAAGAACCAAGAAUGUCUGCACAUCCAUUCAGUUUAAAGUUAUUCUAUUCUGGUGUUGAUAAUUUUUAAUCAAGAAGUCACAAUUUUUAAACCUAGAUCAAAAUAGCAUGGGGUUGGUUAACCUUACGGAAGACUAU